rnacentral:lncRNA from 1 species
AUGAUAUCCAAACAAUUAAAGGUAAGGUUUAACAAAUCUUAGCCAUCAUUAAGCAAUAAUCAGACUCAUAGAGAAGGACUUAACUAUUACAGUAUCACACUAGAAAAUUUUGAUUAAAGAAAAGUCUGUGACGUGAUGCUACUUCCCAACCCCCAAGCAAAGCAUCCAUCCAUCAAGUACCUGAGAUGAUAGAACAUGGAUGAGAUAUAAAAUCUCAGCAAGUAACUUGCUUUAACAAGCUAUUUAAACUACAAGUUCAUUAGAUAAUGGUUUAACUAUUAUCAGCAAGCAUAGCUCCUUAAUUAAAUAAUAAUAAUAAUAAUAAUAAUGUCAACUCCAACACCCUCGUACAUAAAUAAAACCAAUUCAUUGCCAAACCUUGGAGAAGUUUCACUUCUCACCACCAUUAUCAAAUAAAUGGCAUAAAAAAACCAAUAGCACCCUAAAUGCAAAUGUAAUGCAAAUGCCAUGUCUCCUGCCUUCAUACUCAACAAAGUAUGAAGUUGCAUCGUCAUGCCCAAUAAACGAUGUUGUACCGGUACGGUCGUGGCUAUCAAGCGGCGACAUAACUCCAUAUGCCAUGCAUUGUGAUGCAAUGAAAUGAAAUGCCAAGACAGAUCGCACAGAAAGAGUAUACACCGCAGGUACGAGAUAAGACUUUCUUCAUUUGACAACAUAAACCUCAUCCUAAUUAUGCCAACAAGAGCCAUUACCAAGUUAUAAAGUAAAGAACAAGACAUAUGUAAUAACAACAGUAAGAUGUGCAUAAACCUAUAAUUGAAUGGAUCAUAUCGGAUAAGUUGUCAUUAUGAAAUUUAAGGUGGAGGUAGAAAAAUAGCAAAUUAAAGCUUGUAGCAACCACCGCUACAUUACUUGCCUCCCGAUAAAGGAGACAACUGCUCUAAGCGUGAUCCGGAGUGCUACCACCUGUUUUGACACAAUAAGAUCAGAGCAUAUCCUCAAACAACCAUGUCCACACAGCAAGUAAAGCACUCAUACAGCCCAACCCGACAAACAAGUGAUAAUGGUGAACAUCGCCUAGGCUAACCGUAGCAGUGCUGCUUCACUUUUUUUAUCAAUCAAUCCAUGGAGGCUAUGAUAGCAAACAAAUACACUUACUGAAUCUACAUAACAAGGACUAGAACUUUCAUGAAGAGCUUAUAUUUUAUCAUGCCUUUAAGAUGGCCUAAACUACUGUUGAAAACAGAGUUCAGAAUCUGCUCGAGAAUUGAGACAGCAAGCUUCAUAUUUUCAUAUCUCCAAACCCUUAAGUCCAAAAUUUAUGAAAUUUAAUGAUGCAGCAGAUAAUUUGAUACCCUACAACUUUAGUAUUAUGAACUUUUACAGAAAAAGAUAAUUAAAUGGCCCCAAGCAUGAACCAAUCUUGACUGAAAAUUCUGCUGAGGAAACAAUACAUUGAGCUUGAAAAUCUAUGCCUAGAGUUUCCAUUAUCCACAAAUCAUGAUAUUUAACUAUUCAGAAAGAUAAUGUAAAUUACUACAAAUCUCUUAUAAUUUCUAGAGUCCCAUCAUGCCUCUAUGUUUCUCGAAAACCUCUUACAUCCAGUUCUGUCCAUAAAUUUGUCAGGGAAAGACAGCUUGCUUAGAAAAAUCAUAACUCCCAAAGUAUUGAUGCCAAAAUCAUGAAAUUUCACAAGAUAAUAGAUCUGAAGGUACUCUACAACUUUGUAGAUCAUCACAACACUCAAUUCAGAUUCCAAUUGGCCCAAAUCGCUCUCCCAAACAAGCUACAGGAACUGCACAACCGAAAUCCGAGGAAUGACAUCCCAAUAACUUUUCUUCCCCCCUAAUCCCCUUACACCCAAGGCCAAACCCAUCAUACACAUCUAAUUUGUGCAGGGAAGGACGGAAUGUAACUCACCUUGGUCACCCACAAGCCCUAGGGCAGCGGGAAGAUAGGGGGAAAAGACCGAUUUACAUGGAAGAUGCACCUUUCUUGCUCCUCUUGUUGUCCUCGAUCCGUUUUCCUAGUUUCCCCCGAGAGUUUGCUGCUGUAGAGAGGGGAUUUAGGGAAGGGAAGCCAUGGGAGAGCAAGGGGAGGAGGAAGUAACGUGAGAAGGAAGAGAGGGCUGGUCUGGACGAGAUGAUGAAAGAAAGGGGGCGACGGCCCAGGGAAAGGGGUGGGCUGGCUGGGCCUUUGAUUUUUUUAGUGUGUUAAACACAAGGAGAUGACAGUUGUAUUCCUUCAGUCGGCAAAUGUACUCCCUGUACUACCACUACACCAGAAAACAUUUUUACUGGUGGGUAAAACCCCAUUGUGCUGGCGGUUUCCGCACCCGCCAUCAACUUUGAGCCAGCACAAAUGGCUCUUUGUGCUGGCGGGUGCUUGCCCGCCACCACAGUGCCUCUCUAUGCUGGCGGGUGCUUACAUCACCUGCGAGCAUAGUUAAUUUUUCGAUUAAAAAAAAGCAUGCGGUCGCCGCCGCCCGUAUGCUCCUGCCUGUCGCCGCUGCCCCUUCUGGUCCCGCAUCGCUGCCGCCGCCGCUGCUCCUGCUCCACCACCACCACCAGCCCGCCACCGUCUUCGAUGAGGCAGCCGUCGUCGAAGCUCCACAGUCCCAUCCCCUCGUCCACCGCGACGGUCGCCGAAGAUGAACACGUCGAACAGGGCGUUUGACUCGCUGGCAUGGCCCACUUUCCCCACAGGCGGUGGACUGUAUUGGGCGGCCUUGCGGCGCUUGCUCGACGCCGGCGCUCUACCACGAGAAGUUCGGGAGCGCGCCGGAGUUGGAGCUCUUGCUGGCCUCAUCCUCCUCGUCGGCCACCACGCCGCCAGCCACCGGCCCCGUGCGCCGCCUCGCCGCCAGAGGCCGGGCAUACCUGCGCACGCAGAGAGAAUACACCUAAGGUUAAACAGAAAAAAAAUCAAACACGGGGACGAGGAGGGUGGGAGACGAGCGGGAUUGUGGCAUGAGCGUAGGAUUUUGCCAUAGAGUGGCGUACUUCCAGAUUAGAGGGAUGAAGUGCGCGUAGAUGCCGGCCACAGAGAACUCCGAGCGGAUGAAGGCGGCGUCAAAGACGGAGCGGCGCAACGGCGUCGUCUUUGAUGCGGAGGCCGAGCCCCCACGCGUCGCCUCGCCGCCCGCACGUGGAGAGGCCGGGGCCUCGCCCACCACCGGAGGUCGAGCCCCUGCGCGCCGCCUUCGGCCCCGUGCGCCUCUGCUCCCCGCACCCACCCGUCGCCGCUGCGAGUGGCCGCCGCUGCCGCCGAGUGACACGGGGGAGAGAGUAUAUGAUUAGUUAAUUACUUUUUAACCAUUCUCAUUCAUGUAAGUUGGAAAAAGCAUUUCAGUGGCGGUGACAGAAGCAUCUGUUAGCACAAAUGACCUCUAUUUGUGCUAGCGGGCACUUGUGUCACAGCCAGCACAAAUGCAUUUGUGGUGGCGGGUUUUAACAUGCUAGCCUGGGGUUCUUUGUCGUGGUGGGUGUGGCGGGUGGUAAUUAGGCCCAUCAGCAAUAAAAAAUCUACGUGUCAACACAAAUCAUUUUUAGCGUAGUGCCACUGAUUUGUUUUAAUAUUUAAAUUAAAAGGGGUUGAGUUGCAAAGUAUAGCAGGUUAAAAAAAGCUGAAAUAGUUAAAUCUUUUUGCGCAAUAAUUGACCGAAACAUGACGGCUGCCACAGUCGCUUGGUGAACUGAUGUCGAGAAAAUAUCUGUAAAAGGGAAACUGCUGAGAAACUGAUGUCACGAAUUAUAGUCACACGAUGUGAUGAUAGAACUCAAGCAGAUCAGACAGCGAAAUCCAAUAAUGCACGUAGAGACAAUCGCGAAAGAAGGAAUAGUCAAGUCUUCGGCGACUCGACGGAAGCGCUGGGCCACCCUGCAGGCAUCCAGUAGGAAGCUGCAUCACUACAUUACACACAACAAGCAUCAAGUAAGAACGUGGAAGCUGCACAUCUAUAUCCAGCUGCGAGAUCACUAUCUCUCGUCCCAAGGCUUUUUACCAGUUCAAUUUGAACAUGAUACUAAAGAUAGCAUUAGUACCGCAUCCAAAUCUGAGAUCUCCCACAGGCCCUCUAGUACCCAUUGCUGGUUCCACACGAUACUAAAGGAUUUAGUACCGGGUAGAGCCAUCAACCGGUACUACAGGACCUUCUCAUUUUUUUUCACGUGCCCAUCUCCUCCUCCUUUUUUCCACACGCCGGACAUCUCCCUCCUCCUUAUCUACUCAAACACUUAUCCUCCAUGUGCAAACACCUCCUCUCCUCCUCCUCCUUCUCUCUCAAUCUCCUCCUCCUCCUCCUCCUCCUCCUCCUCCUCCGCUACUGCCUCCUCUCCCCUCCCCCCUCCGCUCACCCCUUACCGGUAGCGAGGAGCGGCGGCGGGGCGACAACGGAGGGAGCGGGAGAGGAGGGGGUGGAGGGAGCGGCGGAGGAGGGGACGGAGCGGUGGAGGAGGGGGCGGAGGAGGAGGAGGGAGGCCAAGGCUGGCGGGGAGGGGCGGCAGGGAUGGGGGGAGCUAGCUGGUGAUUUUCUUUUUUUCUUAAUUUUUCAACACCCUCUAAUACAGGUUAUCUCUACCCGUACUCGAGGAUCCCCCUCUAGUACCAGAUUGCUAGCUUCGGUUGCACAACCGGUACUAGAGGUGGGAUGGGAACCGGUACUAAGCCCCUUUUUCUUGUAAUGGAUCUUCACCUUCAGCUCAACGGGAGGAGUUCCAAUGAGGAGAUGCUCAUCGCGUUCCAGAACCACAAGGAGGGACACCGGCCGGCCAAUAUUAUAUCUGAAAUAUUAUCAAUUCAAGACAGAUAUAUUGGAAUUUCUAAGACUUGUUAGCACUAGUAGAGAAACCAGCAUUAGUUCCGGUUAGGAAACCUUAUAGAUCUUGGUUUCCCGAACGGGACUAAUUAUUCAGGACUAAAGGUCUUGACCUUUAAUACUGGAUCUUUCACUCAGGGCUAAAGGUACAUCUUUAGUCCUGAUUAGUAAUACCAAUAUUUACUAAAGGGUUUUGCGUGAAAAAAAUAUCUGGAAAAGGGAAACUGCUGACAAACAAUCGAGGGUUCUUAAGCGGCGCAUAUCUUUGUAGCUCGUACCAUCGAGUCCGAUGUUGGGAAGCUCACAGUGAUGAGGCAUGACAGACCACCUCAGACGCACGGAGCACGACACAAUUAUUCCGGUAGCCACACGCAACACAAUAAUAGACCCAGGCAUACUAGGGCAGUUCCAACACAUAUAGGUAGUAUCUAUACUCCCACGUAAGUACUGCAUCAUUCUAGAAAUUACACUCUACAACCUCUAAUUUUAAAGAGAAUUCAUAAUCUCUUCUCUCAACCAAUUAUAUUUGUUCCUUAUCAAUUAUGAAGACACCAUCUUCUCCUAAUGCAACAUUCGACAAUGUCUCGUGCAUAGGUUCUUGUAUUGACACUGGUCUUGCAUGAGAUCUAGUUUUCUGCUCUUCUCUCUCAUUUAAUGUAGUGCCAUAUAAAUUAAAAGUCCUAUGUAGCAAAAUAAAUAAUGCUAUGAAAAUCAGUCUAGUUGCAUGGUUGGGACUGCCCUUCGAUAAAGAAAGGCAACGGACACCGAAGAAGCUUUGGUGGAAACUAGUUGAGUCUUCGUGGACUAGACCCUACCGCACGCAGGGUCACCACCCACUGGUAGAGAAGUGAGCUUUAAUCCCGGUUGGUAGGGUGCUUUUAUCUCGAAAACGCAUCCGGGAUAAACCAUCCGGGACAAAAGGGGGGGGUCUUUUAUCCCGGGUCACUCAACCGGGACAAAAGACCCCCUUUUAUCCCGGUUGGUAACACCAACCGGGAUAAAAGGGUUGAGAGCGCCGACGCUGCAAAAAAAAAAAAUCCCGAGCUCCCAGGCAGGCCCCCCACACGCGCAAGUUACGCGAUUUUUCACGCGAAAUAUGCGCGUGCGCGGUUCGUGGGAUUCGAACCCACAACCUCCAGCCUCGCGCGUAGCUUCCUUACCAUCCCACCUACACACCACAUCUGACUAUGUAGGGGAUACUAUCCUUUUGUAUUAACUCGUGGGGGACCCUUUUAUCCCGGUUGGAAACACCAACCGGGAUAAAAGACCCCCUUUUAUCCCGGUUGGUGUUUCCAACCGGGAUAAAAGGGUCCCCCACGAUUUAAUUCCCUUCCAGUCACCUUCCAGUCACCUCGUGGGGGCCCUUUUAUCCCGGUUUGAAACACCAACCGGGAUAAAAGGGGGUCUUUUAUCCCGGUUGGUGUUUCCAACCGGGAUAAAAGGCUCUUGACCCUUUUAUCUCGGUUGGUGUUACCAACCGGGAUAAAAGGGGGGGUCUUUUAUCCCGGUUGGUGUUUCAAACCGGGAUAAAAGGCCUCUCAGAGUCUUUUUUUCCCAUUAGCCUUUGCAACCGGGAUAAAAGGUUCCGGUUGGUGAGCCUCCCACCAGUGACUGAGUUUUAGUCCCGGUUGGUGAACCUUUUAUCCCGGGCCAACUUUAAACCGGGACAAAAGGGGGUGGAUGGAAAGUCGUUUCUCUACUAGUGACCGAUGACGUCAGUCCAAUAUUACUGCAUUACAAGGAAGGUGAUAAUGCAAUAUAGAGUUCAUCAUCAUCAGCUAUCACUAUAAGAAACUAAUACAAUGUACUAGGGUGAAAAAAUAACCAAUAUACUCGGGUGAAAAAAUUAGACGGCGUUAAACUGUGCCAUACACAUAUAUAUUUAUAUUUACUAGUCCAUCGACCCUGCUUCCACACGAGCUAAUAUUUUUAAAAGCUAUUGUAUUUAAAAAUUAUUUAGAAAUUAAACUUCUAACUAAUAAUCAAAAUUAUUUAAUUACCGCUCUCUUAUUUUUUAAUACUUCAACAUAAUACUUAUAUAGAUAUGUACCUAUCUUUGUCCAGUUGUGAUGAUUUUUAAUUAAUGAUUAUUCUAUGCACUUUUCAUCCAUAUUCAUACUUUUUCCAUUUUGUGUCACGCCUCCAAUCCUCCAUACAUUAUGUUUAGCAUACAAAUCAAUAUUUUUCAUCGAAUCCUCACAUACUUGUAUAAAUGGUCUAAAUGGUGGCACUCAUCAUGUGUAUAUACUUUAACUUAGUAUUUUUAUAUUAACAAUGACAUAAAUAGGUAAUCAUAUAUAUUAGUUUACUUUUUGAUAUUUCUGUAUGAUGCACAUGAAGAUAAUUAGAUUAAAAUUUAGGUGUUUACUUUAGGUUAUUUUUAGUAACGACAUACGUGGGUAAUAUAGAUAAAAUUUUAGAAUGACAUUUUAAGUUAUGCUUUAUGAUGAUACGUAUUAGUAAAUUGGAUGAAUAUUAUAGGAUUACUUUAGAUUAUUUUUUAUAAUAGCUGAGCUCGAUAAUUUAGAUAUAGGUUUAGAGCUUAUUUUUGAAUAUUUUUACAAUGACAGUGGUGGGUAGCUUUUUAGAAAAUAUAAUAGAUCAAUGGCUAUGAUUAUUAGAGUUUACAGGAUUGGUGUUUGGUGUUUUUUAAUUUUUAUGAGAAUUUUUCUCUUUUUUUAAGCUUGUCUCGUGGGAACUAAUGCAGAGUCUCCAAUGGAAAAAAAUAAGACUACAUUGCUACAAAACUAUUACCAUAAGCUAACUCUCAUUUGUUAAAUAUUCAAAUACAAUACUUACGUAGAUAUAUACUUAAUAUCUUCAUCCAAUUGUGAUAGAUUUUAGUUAGUAAUUACUCUAUAAUAUUUUUAUCCAUAUUUAUAAUCUUUAACUUUUCACUUUGCAUCGCAGGUAUGCGCUUGAAUUUGUUUAAUGAACCCUAACUUUGAGAUAUAAUUUUAGCAUAGAAAUUUAUAUUCUCAUCACUUUAUAUCCUUAUAAAUGGUGACACACAUCAUACGUAAAGACCUUAAUUAUUAUAUCGUAUACCAAUAGUGUAAGAUAUAGACGAUUUAGAAUCAUAUAUUGUUAUAUACUUUUAAUUAAGGUUAUUUAAUUAAAACGUAGGGUUACCUCAUGUUAUUUUUAAUAAUGACAUGUAUGGGUAAUAUAGAUGCAAAUUUAAGGGGUUACUUUAGGUAAUAGUGGUAGGCAAUUCAGUUGCAAAUUAGGGGGUUAUUUUAAAUAUUGUUUAUAAUGGUAUAAGUGGGUAAUUUUUAUGAAGAUUAAGGGGUUACUUUAGUUUAUUUUAUAUAAUGGCAGAGGUGGGUAAUUUAUAUAUAGAUUUAGGGUUACUUUAGGCUAUUUUCAUAAUGGCAUAGGUGGGUAAUUUUUUUAAAAAUAUAAUAGAUCCAAUGGCUAUGAUGAUUUGAAUCUAUCAAUUGAUGGUCAGAUGUUUUGCUUUUUUGUGAGAAUUUCUAGAAUUUCUCUAUUUUUCUAGAGUGUCCACCUAGGAAUCAUUUUUAGGUGGCUUCACCUGGAGGCUUCAAAAGGAGCCUCCAAUUAGUAAUAGUAAGAUACUUAUAUUAUAUUUAGGGGGCCAAAGAAGUGCGCUUAGAACAACACGUCCCUCGUUCUUGCCCACCUUUUCAAUAUUUGAAGUGCGCUUAGAACAACACGUCCCUCUUUCUUGCCCACCUUUACACGACUUCUCAAUAUUUGAAGAAAAAACAGUUAGAAUAGACUUGUAGUUCCAUGAUAGAUGCUAUAACGGUACCAUGCUCAUCCUCUUCGACCUUCCUACACAGGCCCACUUUGGCAGGCCUCCAGCUCCUUCUAAAAUGGGAUGGAACCAAGGAUCCACUUUCUCUUGGCUCCGAUUUCUCAAUAUAAACGGCUCCGGCUCCUCUAUUACUCUAGGUGUGGAGCUAUUUUUUGGCAACCCUGUUUUGUAGGACUGCAGCACGAGCCAAAGGAGAAGUCGGAGCACUACCAAAGAGGCUCACAGUUGAGAGCCGAAGACAGACAAAUGAGCAGUAAGCAGUUUCUGCAACAAAGUUGUGGAGCCUGACAUAUAUGCAUUAUACGCAAAUCCAAACUGAAAUGAUAUUUGAACUGCAUAUUCUACUAUAGUAAAAUAGUUAAAGUCGGAAAAUUUGGUGUACCCGCAUCUUUCAUAUCUCCAUCAUCAGCACCUGGUUGUGGAAAGUCGGAAAGGAAAAUAAGACAAGGGACAAAAAUCUAAGUUUAAAGUAAGCCACUACAUUCUUCAUAUCUUCAACUUGAAGAGCACAUAAUUAAUGAUCGCUAAUCGCCAUUUGCAUCCCACGCUAUGAAUAUGGAAUUGCAAUCCUAAAGGCUCGCAAGCCGCCUCAUCUCAGAAACAUGCUUUCGCUAUAUUUAAAUACUACCAUCUUCUUCCUAGCGGAAUGAAUUUUAUGAUGGGAACCUGUCAAUUCGACAGCUCGGGAGAGCGAUUACUAGUCGGAAGGAGCAAUGAAAAACUGAAUUUAAGCCCACCAACGUGUCAUUCGCUGGACCAAACUAGAGGACGUUAGUGUUAUCUCCGCUCGUGCCGGUUGGGAUAGGACUUCGAGGCGACAGGCGAGGCGAUGGACAACAUGGACACGAUGUGCUGAUAGAACUCAAGCAGAUCAGACCGCGAAAUCCAAUAAUGCACGUAGAAACAAUCGCGGAAGAAGGAAUAGUCAAGUCUUCGGCGACUCGACGGUAGCGACGGGCCAUCUGCAGGCAUCCAGUAGGAAGCUGCAUCACUACAUUACACACAACAAGCAUCCAGUAAGAACGUGGAAGCUGCACAUCAUAUCCAGCCGCGAGAUCUUCACCUUCAGCUCAACGGGAGGAGUUCAAAUGAGGAGAUGCGCGUCGCGCUCCAGCGCCAUGGGAAGGGACACCGGCCGGCCCAACGUUAUAUCUGAAAUAUUAUCAAUUCAAGACGGAUGUAUUGGAAUUUCUAAGACUUGUUAGCACUAGUAAAGAAACAAGCAUUAGUCCUGAUUAGAAAACCUCAUAUAUCACGGUUUUUCGAACGGGACUAAUUAUUCGGGACUAAAGCUCCCGACCUUUAAUAUUGGAUCUUUCACUUAGGGCUAAACGCAUAUCUUUAGUCCCGGUUGGUAAUACCAACAUGGACUAAAGAGUUUGCGCAAAAAAAUAUCUGUAAAAAGGAAACUGCUGAGAAACAUCCGCGUAUUCUUAAGCGGCGUUAUAUGUUUGUAGCUUGUACCAUCGGGCUUGGAGGUUGGGAAGCUCACAGCGAUGGGCCACGACAGGCCACCUCAGACGCAAGGAGCACGACACAAUUCUUCCGGUAGCCACACUAAUCACAGUCACGCAACGCAUUAAUAGUCCCCGGCAUGCUAGGGCAGUCCCAACAUAUAGUGUCUUCAGAUAGUGUCUAUACUUCCACGUAACUAAAAUAUCAUUUUAGAAAUUACACUCUACAACCCGUGAUUUCAAAGAAUGUGUCUUUAAUGAAUUCAUCAUCUCUCCUCUCAACCAAUCAUAUUUAUUCCUCAUCAAUUAUGAAGAUACCAUGUUCUCCCAAUACAAUAUUCGCCAAUAUCUCAUGCAUAGGUUAUUGUAUUGACACUGGUCUUGCAUGAGAUCCAAUUUUUUGCUCUUCCCAUUCUCUCUCAUUUAAUGUAGUGCCACGUAAACUAAAAGUCCUAUGUAACAAAAUAAUUAAUGUUAUGAAAACCAUUCUAGUUGCAGGGUUGGGACAGCCGUUAGUUAAAGAAAGGCAACGGACACCGAAGAAGCUUUGGUGGAAAGUAUUCGAGUCUUCGCGGACUGGACGCUAGCGCAGGGUCACCACCAAUGACGUCAGCCCAAUAUUACUGCAUUGCAAGGAAGGCCAUAAUGCAAUAUAUAGUUCAUCAUCAUCAGCUAUCACUAUUAGAAACUAAUACAAUGUACUAGGGCAAAAAAAAAAUUGCCAAUAUACUAGGGUGAAAAAAAUAGACGGCAAAAGCCGUUAAACUGUGCCAUACACAUCAUUCCAUCUAACAAUUUUUCCACAUAUAUAUUUAUAUUUAGGGGCCCAAAAAAGUGUGCUUAGAACAACACGCCCCUCGUUCUUGCCCACCUUUUCUACUACAAGACUUCCAAAUAUUUUUAGGAAAAACAGUUAGCAUAGACUUGUAGUUCCAUGAUACAUGCUAUAACGGUACCAUGCUCAUUCUCUUGGAUCUUCCAACAUAGGCCCCCUUUAGCAGGCCUUCAGCUCCUUCUAAAAUGGGAAGUAGCCGGAGGAGUCACUUUUCCUUAGCUCCGAUUUCUCAAUACAAACCGCUCCGGCUCCUCUAUUGCUCCAGGUGUGGAGAUAUUUUUGGCAUCCCCAUUUUUUAGGGCUUCAUCACGAGCCAUAGGAGAAGCCAGAGCACCAACAAGGGGCUCACAGUUUAGUUUAGAGCUGAAGACACACCAAUGAGCAGAAAGCAGACAUGGUAGUUUCUGCAACAAAGUUGUGGAGCCUGACAUAUAUGCAUUAUACGAAAAACCAAACUGAGAUGAUAUUUGAACUGUAUAUUCUACUAUAGUAAAAUAGUUAAAGUUGGAAAAUUUGGCGCACGCGCAUCUUUCAUGUCUCCAUCAUCAGCACCUGGUUGUGGAAAGUUGAAAAGGAAAAUAAGACAAGGGACACUACUGGAGAACUAACCUUCUAUCCAAGUGCUUUUGUCCCGGUUAACUUUGGUCCCGGGUCAAAAAUGUGCUGUUGAAGGACACCGCCCAGGGGGGGCGUGGGGGGCGCUUGCAACGACUAUAAAAAAUCGUACCGAUACUCCCCCUUUUGUCCCAUUUGGAAAUUCCAACCGGGACAAAAGAGCCCCGCUCCACUUUUAUCCCGGUUGGUAAUUCCAACCGGGACAAAGGUAUAGUCCCGGUUGGAAUUUCCAACCGGGACAAUAGGGGGGUCAUGCUGCUCAAAUUUUUUCCUCUUUUCUGUGGGGAUUUAGUCAUUGUUGUGAAGGUUAGCUACUUCAUCUUGAAUUUAUUAUUAUUAUACUUUAUUUUAUGCUUUAGAGAGGGAGCAAAAUGAGUUUUAUAGAAUCAGGGAGAAUGGAGAGGAUUUUUAUUUAUACAUAUUUUUGAGAUAGAAUUUGAUGGAUAGCUUGCUUUUUAUAUAUGAUUCGUAUUAGUUAAAAGAACUUGAUCAAUAUUAGGUGUUGCAAAAAAAUAGAGUAAAUGUGUUUUUAAUAUUUAGUCAUUGCAAUAAAAUUAAGGUAAAUAAAUUGUAGGUGUAUGAAAUUGAAUUUGAUCAUUGCUACAAUUUUUCAUGUCACUGUAAUUUAAUAAUAAUUGAAUUUCUUCGACUAGUAUUUAUCUCAUGUUUAAGGCAAGAACUAAAUAGUAUAAACACACUUACUUUAUUUUUUCCCUGCCUAAUAUUGAUCAAGUUCUUAAUGUAAUAUGAAGCCCUAUGUUCAUUUUCCACGUAAUACGAUGCAGAUGGACCGGCAUUGGUUGUACCACCUCUGUUCCUCUAAUCCUAGAGAACAGUGUUUGCACAUGGCAGAAUGUGCUUACACUAUUCCCUGCACAUAACCUAACUUCCUACAAAGUCUAUGGAAAGUCACCUUCACUCCUCCAGUACUAGAAAAUAAUGGUGCAAUAGAAGAACUUCUAGUCCACAAACUCGUGCUAAAUAUGAGUAAUGAAUUUUGAAAUAGUAUUCCAAAUAUUUUUUGGAGCCUAAUUCUUAUAAUAGAAGUAUGCUGGCCCAAUAUCCUCUUCAGGCAAAGAUCUGUUCACUGACCUUGACCUAGCGGCUUUUGCUUGGUUUUGGCUUACCACCAUGGGCCAUGCUUAGCGAACACAUAUUUUGCCUGGACAUGCUAUUAUGUGUGUGCCACUAUAUAUACUUCUAUUAUGAGAAUGUAGCACUUGCUACAACAGAUAUUUGGACAAUUAUUUCAAGAUUCCUUUAUGAUAUUCAGCCUAAGUAUGUGAACUCAAAGAUCUUCUGUUGUACCGAUGCUUUGAAACAUACGAGAAUGAUUCCAAAUCAUAGUCCGGUUUUGUGUUCUGCCUCAAUGGAAGAGCAGUAAGCUAGAAAAGUUCUAAGCAAGAUAUAUUAGAUGAUUCAACGAUGAAGGUGGAGUAUAUUGCAGCUUCAGAAGCUGCAAAGGAAUCUAUUUGGAUCAGAAAAUUUGUUUCAGAGUUGGGUGUUGUCGCUAGUGUGUCAAGUCUAGUGGAUUUCUAUUGCGAUAAUAGUAGAGCCAUUGCACAAGCAAUGAAGCCUAUAUCACACCAAAAGUCCAAACAUAUGCUACAACGCUAUCACCUCAUCCGCAAGAUCAUUGAUCGAGGUGACGUGAGGAUUUGCAAGGUGCACACGGAUUUGAAUGUUGCUGAUCCGUUGAGGAAGCCUCUUCCACAACCAAACCAUGAGGCGCACACCAGAUCGAUGAGUAUUAGAUACUUACAUCAAUGAUCCUAGUGUAUGUGGAAGACUUGUGUCCUGACUAUGUUUAUGUACUAUUGAAUAAAGUAUUAUUUGUUACUUGAGUAACUAUCAUUUACACUGAUUACCAAGUAUGUGACUUGUUCGUGGAACUCUUCAUUGAUUAUCAUGUUAUUAUAAAUGAUCCCUAGUCUAUAUCAUUAUAUGGGACAAUAAUGACAUACAGACUAGCACAUGUAUUAAUUGAUGAUCAUCUUUCUUGGAUUAGAUUAACAAUAUUAACAUAUGUUAGUGAACAUGGUGUUGGAUUGACCCACCUCGAGACACUGCUAAGAUUGUUAUUUUAUAUGCAUCAUCAAGUAGAAAAUGAAACUUAUGCUGAUUAGAUAAAAGGUGCGAUAAAAUUAUGGUUAGUGCAUUCUCAACACCAUAUAAAGUUUACCAUGAAGUAAUCAAACUGAACAAAUUAGUUACUACUAUCUCAAUCUAAUAGCAAUCAUAUCAAUAUAUGUACCACUGCUUACACCAACCUGUGCAUCCGCAUGCUACCUAACACUGGACGACUCUGCAUUGAUUGCGGGGAUGGAGAAGGUCCGCGGAGCAAGUCGUGCUAUUAUCAGGGCCAGUUUGGUAGGGUUCCAGCUCCAGCUUCUCCUGCGACUCUAGCUGAAACCCUACCAAAUAGUUUGAUAAAAACGGCUCCACCCCUGAAGCACUAGAGGAGCCGGAGCCGUUUUAUAUGGAGAAGCCGGAGAAAAAAAAAUGACUCCUCUAACUCCAGCUCCUUUUAGAAGGUGAGCCCUACCAAACUAGCCCAAGUCAAGUCUUCCCCAAAUGCAUCCAACUGUGAUGACCACUCAGGCUGCCAUGAUUACCCAUUGCCGUUAACUUCCUAUCUACUUCCUCGAUCAGAACACCACCAAUGCCGUCGUCUCCAUCCGGCCACCGCCAUGGCCGUGGCCUGCUCCUCCUUGCCAUGGUGGCGAGCCUCUCUACCUUCGUAAUGUCCAUGGACAGCCGGUUCACGUUGGUCGACUGCCAAACAUCGGCGGCGCCAUCUCCUGCUCCCUCGCUGCCGCCGGCGUCCUCCUCCUCCACCACCACCACCAACAGCACGUUCUGGUCGAACGUCGUGGCGCUACUGGAAGCGCUACCGUCUGCCGCAGCGCCGACGGGCUUCGCCUCCCUGUCUCGCGGCAACGGCACCAACCGCGCCUUCGUCCGAGGCAUCUGCCGCGGCGACUCCGCCGGUGCCGAUUGCGCCAGGUACCUCCGGAGCGCCGGCGUGGGCAUCCGGAGCCGGUGCAACCAGAACAGCCGCCGCGCCGCCAUCUGGUACGACGACGGCUCCACCGUGACAUAUCCGGCGCCGAUGUUCUGCUUCGUCAGCUUUGCCGACACCAACACGUCCACGCCCUACGAGCGGAAGUACUGCAAUGAAAUGUAUAACACGGGGGUGGCCCGUGACAAGGUCGGCUUUUUUUUUAAUGGAAGUGACGAGAUUGCCUUCGAGAACACAUACUACACGCUCAUGACGCGGCUCGCCGCGCGCGUCGUCAACGGCUCCGGCGACACCCCGCCGUCCUCCUUGCCGGAGGCGCCGAAGUUCGCGACGGGGGAGGCCGUGUAUGACCCCGGCAUCCCCAACGGAACCAUGUACGGGCUGAUGCAGUGCAUGAGGGAUCUGACGGCGGCGGAGUGCCAAAAGUGCUUGCAGGACUCGGUGCCACGGCUGCCUAGCUGCUGCUUCGGUAACCUGGGUGGGGUGGUGCGUGGCUACAACUGCUACAUUCGCAUGGAGAUAUACACCUACUAUGAUCUCAAGCUUGAUCCACCGCCCCCUCCAGCGCAAGCUCCGUCCAACUUCAUCGGACAAAGUGCGGGUGAGCUUCUCAAUCACUACAUAUUUUCGUUCUUUUUUAGAUAUAUGAUGUCGUUUAGCAUGAGCUAAUUAGUUCAAUUUAACUAACGGGUUUAUAAAUAAUGUUCUAAAUGUCACAUAUUUGGAAACGGAAACAAGUUUACAUGUUGCAUUUUAAAUGGAUACAAUCUCUAUACUUCAAAUUUAGUAUAUUAAUUUAGAACAAUACUAGAUAUCCAUUGACAGAUUUAGAGUCGGCAACCCUAUCUUCUGAGACGAAGUUUGGGUUUUCGAUUCUAGGUUUAGAGAUGGGGAGAUUUAUGGCUGGAGGCAGAGCGGGGCAACCGCGAAAAAAAAAUCAUUGAACAAGAAAGAGGAUGCACGGAGAAGGAUGGCGAUUCAAGGCAGAUCCGUAGACAUCAGUAAUGAUGAAGGAAGAUUGUCUGCCCUUACUGGCAGGGAAACAUAACAGUAAUGAUGAAGGAAGAUUGUCUGCCCUUACUGGCAGGGAAACAUAACAGGCGGCGUCAUGGUGCUCAGGGUAGCCGAAUGGAUCAUGAUGUGCCCGCAAACACUAACGUAGCGAAGGGACAAAGUAUAGGCCGUUGGAUCUUAAUUCUAGGGUCCAAAAAAUGAUAGAUUAUUACUCCGUAAUCUUUUAACUGUUGUGUAGACAUAUCAUAUAUUAUUCUGUUCGUUGACUGAAAGCAAUUAAAAUUUCGGUCACCUCUAUGCAAAUAUAACCAAUAAUGCAUCAACUCGGUCUGCAGCAGUGUCCCAUCGUGAAAGCACUGUAGGGCAGUACAGGGGGUGUACGACAAUUUGACGGCAAUCUAGAAGCAGACGUGACACGAGUACCAAAAAAAAAAAGACUAAAUUAAGGCCUUGUUUAGUUGGCCAAAUUGGGAGGUGCCAAAUUACUGUGCUGGCACUGUAGCACACUGUAGCGUUUCAUUUGUAUUUGUGAAUUAUUGUCCAAACAUUGACUAAUUAGGCUCAAAAGAUUCGUCUCGCAAAGUACAACAAAACUGUGCAAUUAGUUUUUAAUUUCAUCUACAUUUAGUACUCCAUGCAUGUACCGCAAGUUUGAUGUGAUGGGGAAUCUUCUUUUUGCAUAGUGCUAAAGUUGGGAGUUGGGGUUGAAGUAAACAAGGGCUAAAGCAAGCACGACCUGACCGACACUACAGUGGUAAUACCUCACUCAAAUGCAGGAAAAAAGGGCCUUGGUUCGACUCUCGCCGCGGCCCUCCCUAGUGGUGGAACGGUCCUUAUUGCACUCGUCAUCCUUGGUGUUUUCUUAUACACAAGAAAUGCCAAUUGGAAGAGAACGCAAGGUACGCGUACGCCUAAAACCUCAGUUGAUAUUUGUUUCUGGCUGUGUCCAUUUUACUAGGUGCAGCAGAGUUCAGUUACAGCAACCGAGCAGUCCCACAAUAUUCCAUCACUAAUAAGAUAGUAUUAGAACUGUCCUAAUAAUAUAAUUUUUAGGAUUAUUGAAGCAGGUUCCCAAUAUAAUCGUCUUUUUAACACUAUUUCGCUAUGUACUUGCACAUAAAAGUUACAAAUACGCUAUGUUCAUGUCCGAAUAAUUAGCGAUGUUUUUAUCACACACGAUUCGUCUAAGUUUCAAAUGCAGAAAUUCAAACAUAAAUAUGGUCCAAAUGCAUCAAAUAAAUAGUCCAAAGUAAAUAUGAAUAAAGGAAACAUAGAGCAUCACACACUACCAUGGAGCUGCCACAAAUGCUUAAUAAGGUUAUCAUGAAGUCAUUCAUGUGCCGCGGGAUCAAAAACACUCGGCGGAUCAAAAACACUCGGUAAAAAAAAACACACAACAAUCAACGGGUUCACCGAGUGUAUACAUAAAAACACUCGGCAAACAAGGGUUCGCCGAGUGUUUUUUCUCCCACACUCGGCGAACCCGUGUUCCCGCAACCGCACCGUCCCCCCGGCCCCACGCCCUGCCCCCCGCCACCCACACCGUCCCCCUCCCCCCACACGCCCCGGCCCUUCACCUCCCCCCCACAGCACACCCAGCACCACGCCCCUCCCCUCCCUCCCGCACUCACGCCCCUCCCGCACGCGAGCUGGGAGCCCCCUCGCCUCCCUCUCCUCCAGCGCGGGGGGCGCCGCCUCACCUCCCUCUCCUCUAGCGCGGGGGGCCACCCUCCCCUCUCUCUCCUCCUUUGGCGGCGCGAGUCCCCUCCCUCUCCUCCGGCGGGCGACGGCGCUUGCCCCGUCUCCCAGCCGGAUUUGGCCGCUGCCCCCUCUAUCCUGGCUGGAUCUGGCCGCCGCCCCCUCCAUCCCGACCGGAUCUGGCCGCCGCCCCUGCCUCCCGGCCUGAUCUGCCACGCCGCCCCUCCUCCGAGCCGGAUCCGGCGGAGGCCGUGGUGGGCGGGGGCGGGCGUGGCGGCCGGGUGGUGUGGUGGUGCUGUGGUGGUGCGGUGGUGGUGUUGUGGUGGUGGUGCUGGUGGCGUGGGUGGUGGUGGUGCGGCAGCCAUGGGUGGGUGACGGCGGCCGUGGGUGCGUGACGGCGGCCGUUUUUUUUAGUUUUUUCAAAAAAAGUACGCCGAGUGUUUUUUGGGCACUCGACAUCUUUUUGCCGGGUGCCCGACAAAAAACACUCGGCAAACUAGUGUUUGCCGACAUUUUUUUUGUCGUGUGCCCUUUGCCGAGUGUUACACUUGGCAAAGGGUUCGCCGAGUGUUUUAGGGGCUUCGCCGUGUGCCCUAGGCACACGGCAAACCUUCCGUUUCCGGUAGUGAUAGUUCCAUUGCACCAUGAGGGAUUUCCAAAUUCGGUCUUCAUCCUUCUAAGGCUUGACCAGCACCAGAUAUGUGCCCUUAGAUCAAAGCUAAACACAUUCUCAACCCAGCAUCUCCCUAACCGGUCGGAACGGGCCAUCAGCACCAGUGCUAUUUUGACCGGCAGAGCAUAAAAACUUUUAUGUGUAGUGCUAGCUGUACAUGCAGGCAUGGUCGGAUGGCCCCACAAAAUUUGCUGCUUGGUAUGGAGGGUUAUUUUUUCCAUGAGCUUUACUUAUUACAAAAAAAGGAGCUAACAUGAUUCUACUUAAUAAUAAUGCCAGUCUUUUGCAUACUAUUUUUGUGACAGACAACAGUAGCAAAGAAGAGGACAGCGGAUAUGUUGAGCCGGAGCAACUUAAUCUAGCGGUGUUAAGAGAUGCAACUGACAAUUUCUCGAAAGAAAACAAGCUUGGAGAGGGAGGUUUUGGAGAAGUGUUCAAGGUACAUUUUCAGCUAUAUGUAUAGGCACACAAAUGAGAAGUAGUAUAAUAUACUAGGUACAGUCAUCGUGACAGAACUAGUAUCGUGAAUUGCAGUGUAGUGGUCACGAAAAUUUAAGAAUAGGUAUUUUCUUUUGCGCAGGGUACAUUACAAGAUGGGGCAGAGAUAGCUGUGAAGAGGCUUUCACGGAACUCCUCACAGGGAUUCCAAGAGCUUAAGAACGAGCUUGUUCUGGCUGCCAAGCUUGAGCACAGGAACCUAGUGCGGCUCUUGGGUGUGUCCCUCCAAAAGGAGAAGCUUCUUGUCUACGAGUACAUGCCCAACAGAAGCCUAGAUACCUUUCUUCUCGGUAUCCAUCAAACAACUGUUCCUAAGCAAAUAAGAGAACUCACAUGGAUUAUCGUCUAUAUUUAUGUCCUUUUUUUGUAUGUUGUGCAGAUCCUGUGAGACGACACCAACUAGAUUGGAGUAAGAGGUUUACAAUCAUCUGCGGCAUCGCACGGGGACUUCUCUAUCUCCACGAGGAGUCUCGCCUGAAGGUCAUCCACAGAGAUCUAAAGCCGAGCAACGUAUUGCUUGAUGCGGAUAUGAACCCCAAAAUUUCAGACUUUGGCAUUGCCAGGGCUUUUGGCGGUGACCAAUCUAGAGAUAUAACAAGACGACCCGUUGGUACCCUGUAAGCACCCAGGGCUGAGCACUGCAUCAAUAAUAGUCAAUCCAUACCGUAGAUCAAUUAUUACCAGUGACUCCUGGUUGCACAUUGUGGAUGCAUGCAGUGGGUACAUGUCUCCAGAGUAUGCCUACUGGGGGCAUGUCUCGACCAAGUCAGACAUGUUCAGCUUCGGUGUCAUAGUCUUGGAGAUGGUGACCGGGCGAAGGAACAACAGCGCAUACGACUCUGCUGUAGACUCCGUGUCUGUGCUGAGCCAUGUAAGUGCGCACUAUUUCUUGGGUAAUAAUGUCCCAUCGCGGGUGGAAAAACGAUCUUCCAUCCUCAACAAAAAUCUCGGUGAUUUUUGAUUUGGGAAAAAUUUUAGUCCCAGGUCUAAAUUUCGUAGUACGUGGAGACACCUUUAGUCCCGAUCGAACUAUGGAUUUCCUCCCCUACUCAGUUAGAUGUGUUGUGUAGGUGAGAUGAUAAAAAACCUGUGGAGCCUUCUGAAAAUUUAGAAUAUUUUUUGGACCAAAUGAUUAGUUCCGGUUGGAAAAACUGAGAUCUAUGAGAUUUUCUAACCGGGACUGAUACUCCUUUCUCUACCGGUGCGCAUGUAACAUAUGCUUCACGUAAUGGACAUCGAUCGAUUGUGUGUACAGGUAUGGGACAACUGGAGGGCUGGUUUGAUGACGGAUGUGGUGGACCCAUUGCUGACCGAGUGGGGGUACCCGGAAAGCGAGGUCCUCAACUGCAUAGAGAUUGGGCUUCUAUGCGUCCAGGAGAACCCGGUGGACCGACCAGACGCCUCCGCGGUGGUGCUUAUGCUUAGCAGCCCUACCUCCAUGUCUGAUGACAGGCCAGCCCCAUCAAGGCCGGCCUUCGUCUUCAGCUGUGGCUUCACCACAGAAUCAGAUCGCCCAAGAUCCGGUGCCUGGAGCUCCGAUGGUGUGCUGCUAAUAGGCAAUAAUAAACAGCCGUCGACGACCACGGUUUCAGAGAACGAAGUGUCGAUCUCAGAGCUUCAACCGAGGUAGAUGUGUGUAGCACAGAGUGCGGAGCACAAGCUGCUAGCUGGGCGUGGUUCAGCCUAUGAUUAAUCUCGUGUGUCUUAAAGCAUUAUAUUGCAUAUGGUAAAGAAAAAUUCGGAAAACAGAAUAAGGUUUACGCCUGAGAGAUUCUUGCUGCCUAUUAAGGUGAUAUGAUCCAACUCAUUUGAUCGAAAAAGACUAUAUUGAUCAUGGUGGUCUCUGUUAAUUACCUCGUUACUAUUGUAUAGCACUGUUCGAACUGUUCCAUGUCGUUACUUGCAGCACACACACCAAUUUGAUUUCUUCAGGAAUCCUUUGAUUCUAAGAAGAGUCCAUAACAAGUUUCCGUCUUGGAUCAACAUUCUGAACUAGAAUACACCUUCAUCUAGCUAAGGACAUGUUUGUUUGAAAUUUUAGGCAGCUUUUCAGCGUGAAAAGAUAGAAGGUCAAACAAACAACCAACUUCUCGUUCAGAAAACUUAAGUUUAUAUGGAAAGCUGAAAAAUUCAGUUUUCUAAGCUUUAGAUAGCUUCACUAAUAGAGAAAUUGCCUCUAGUACCUGUCCGUAACCCCCUCUAAUACAGGUUGUGCAACCAGUAGUGGCAAUUCGGUACUAGAGGGGGGUCCUUUACCGGUUAUUUUAAUCGGACCCUUUAGUACCGGUAGCGGAUACCAACCGGUAGUAAAGGGCCUGCCACACUAUGUGUGGGAGCGGCCUACUUAGUACCCGUUGGUCUCCCUAACCGAUACUAAUUUGUUAUUUCCUUUCUUUUCUUAUUUUCUAUUUCUUUAUUUUAUAUUUAUAUUCCGUAUUUGUUUUCAUUACCUAUACUAGUUCUAAUAUGCUAAUGUAUGUAAAGUUCUAUUUAUCUUUAAUAUUACCUUUGAGAUACUAUUAUAUAUAUAUAUAUACAUAUUAUGCAUACACAUAUCGUAUCUACUAUUCUGAACUCGACUCCUGACUGUGCUGUAGAUUUGAUCCGUCAUUAUGAAACUCCCCCACAGAAUUUACAAUCUCGUCCAGAAGAGAUCCACAUAGUUGUUCUUGUAUUGCCCUGAAAACUUUCGUGUCGAAGAGUUUAUCCUUCCUGUAUAUCAUCUAUGUCAUCAGCAAAGUUUAUUAUAUAUAUAGUAGACCAAUGGAUUUGCACAAUUGAAACUUUUUUGAAGUAUAAGCAAAUAAAUUGAAAUGCUUAAUCUAAUUUUUCUAAGUAUAUACAUAUGAAUUGCUUUUUGAAGUAUAAGCAUAUGAAUUGAAAUACUUAAUCUAAUUUUUCUAAGUAUAUACACAUGAAUUGCUUUUUGAAGUAUAGGCAAAUCAAUUGAAAUACUUAAUCUAAUUUUUCUAAGUAUAUACACAUGAAUUGGUUUUGAAGUAUAGGCAAAUCAAUUGAAAUACUUAAUCUAAUUUUUUAAGUAUAUACACAUGAAUUGGUUUUUGAAGUACAAGCAUAUGAAUUGAAAUAUUUAAUCUAAUUUUUUAAGUAUAUACACAUGAAUUGGUUUUGAAGUAAAGCAAAUGAAUUGAUUUUUGAAGUAUAUACACAUAAACUAAUUUAUUAUCGGGUAGUUCAUGGUCGGUUAAACGGUUCGGAAGCAUAAAGGCGUGGAUGAACUCAUGUACGUAGUAUCUGCAUAAAUUAGUACCCAGCUCCUAUCUCGAAGACUAUAUAUAUAAAAAAAAGUUAUAAAAUAUUUGUUGUGUUAAAUGAAGUGUCACGAGAUGUGAAAAUUCAACACAUAUCGGGAAUUCAAUCUUCCAUUCAAGUUCCUCCUUGAAUUCAGAAAAUCUAGAUAAUUUAUUUAAACCAUGAAAAAUACUUUGAAAAUCCCAAAAAUCCAUGAAAAUUCCUAGAGACAAUUUGGGACAUGAGGAAUCCAAAGAAAAUAUUUGGAGCUCAUGAAAAGUAUUAUAGAACAAUCCAAAAAUUGGAUUUAGCACUUAGAAAAUGAGAAUAAAUUCCAGAAAAAAACUGGAAAAUUCUUAGAAGGACUUGGACACGUAUAAACACAUUUUUAAACUUUUUCACUCAUGAAACACCAAGAUGCAUCGGCAUGAGUGCACAGACAUGGAACAACAUUAUUUAAUUCUGAAAAGCAAACAAUUAUUUUUCCUAUACUAAAUUUCUUGUGAAGAAAGAUAAAUGUUGGGAAAAUUUUUAAAAUUAUGAGAAAAUUAUUGUUUAAUUAUUAUUUGUCAAUCAUAUCCUGAAAUUCAAAAAUUUCUGGAUAUGUCGUCACAUCAUCAUCAUCAACAUGUGUUGACGUGGCUGCAGCAUCAUCAGCGCUAAUGUAACCAUCAUCAGCGCUAAUGUAACCAUCAUCCGUAGCAAUAUAUACCCGUUGGCUGGGGGCAAUCCUUCGUGACAUGGCCAAAUCCAUGGCAGCAACCCGAGAAAUUAAACAUCAAAUCUGACUUUGUUUUGCACAUUCUCGCACGAGUAUCCAAAGUUCCAAACAGGUUUACGCAUUUCGUUCCAGUGAGAUUUUGAAGAAAUCCUAACUCAUCAACUACUAAAUGAUGGUGUUCAUGACUUGCCCACCCAUCUAACGUGGAUGAUAUGUGACCGUGUAGUAUAAUCUAUAGUGUAAUUGUACCUACAUUCCUUAUUAUGCCACCAGACACCACCGAGGAGGUUUAUUUAUUUAUUAAUAUAGAGGUAGGGAUGCAUGUUCAAUUUGUUUUGGUCCAUUGGAUUGACCUAAAUUUUGCUAAAAUGGACUACAAUGGCAAUGUCACUUAAUUAAUUUAUAGGAGAGAGAAAUAAAUAAAAAUGUCAUGUUAACGUAAUUAAUUAGCUCAACUAGAAAAUACAUUGGGUAACCACUUGCAUCCUUAUAUAUGGAGGAGAGGAACCUCCCUCUACAUUACCUAGAAAAAAGAAAGAACAUAUCACUACUAGAGAACUGGGUAUUACUACCGGUUCGUAGGGUGCAUAUCUCCCAAAAAUGCAUCCGGCAUUAACCCGUCGAUACAAACCGGGACUAACGGGGCUGCCAUGACAGACCCCUUUAGUCUGGGACUAAAUGUCUCCUCUUUAGUCCCGGUUUGUAAAACAAACCAGAACGAAAGUGCGUGUAUACAGUGCCAUGCACGCGCCUAUAUAUAUUUGAAUUCCAGCCAGAGGCAUUUCUCGCCUUCGGCGUAUAAAUCUAUUUGUUUUACCUUAAGGGCGAACAUGGAAGUCUAGUCGGCGGACGUCUUCAUGUACCAUUCAUGGAAUUCGUACAUCUUCGGUUGAAAUGGCUUUGAAGCUGCUGGCUCGUGACCACCUAGCUCUAUAGAUUGAUCAAGUUCCACUCCAAAUUCUUCCAUGAAUUGCAAUACUUGAUCUUGUUGAGACUUGGGCAUUGCUGCUAUCCUUCUAGCAUCUCCUUCUGGUAGAUGAUGAAGGCGGCGAUCAACAACACUUGAAGAUGACUUUCCUUUUCUUUUUUCCCUAUAUUCAUCACCUUCUUAUUUGAAUGUGACAUCUUUUAAAAAAAUUGUAAUUUAGUUGGAUCAAUUGUUGGUUGUGGCUCCAUCUCCCUUGCUUUUUUUGUUCAGCCCUUUUCCUGAACAAAUCCUUGCAUUCUGCUUGGAUUUCGGACCAGCUUUCCUCUUGAGUCAUUGCAUUACAGCGUUCCUUAGGAGUCAAUUCAGGCUCCUUAUUUGUUUUCCUCUUUUUAUGUGCUAACUUGGGAGCCGUUGGUCGCAACUUCAUAAUCGGGUCUCCAGCAGGUUCGUUUCUCGGGGCUGCAGGUACCUUGCUCGGGACUUCUCUUAUUCCCGACAUCGUCGGUGAGCAGGAAGGAGUGCUGUUGUUGUCGUCGUUGUUGCUAGCUGGAUGUGGAGAUGGAGACUUUGCUCGAGCAUGCAUCGACGACGGUCCUGGUGCUGAAGGUCCUGGUGGUGAUGGUCCAGGUGAUGAUGGUCUUGGAAUUGACCGUGGUGGAGAAGUCGGUCUUGCCAUUUGAGAUGAUGGUUGCGGCUCGGGUUCUUUUGGGAAGGGUGCUGCCUCCAUGCCCGGGAUGAUGAUGUAGCAUUUGCACUAGAAUGACGCCUCCUUGAACCGCAUCUCCUAAUGUCCUUUCCCCAACGCCUCCCGGGAGUUGGAGCUCAUAGCCCUCAUAUUGCCGAUGAACGAGCUGCUCUACCGAGACACUAGCAUAGCCUGGUGGAAUCUCCAUGCCAUGGCUCGCCUGCGUUGCCCAGCUUGGUAAGGCACUCUUGUACGCUACCUAUACAUAUAGCAGAAAUAAAGAUGUUGAGGCAUGGUGGAUCGAUGGAUUGAGAAGAUUAUUGCAUAAAUAUUAAUUAUGUAUAAGAGUAUACCUUAACAGUCAGGUUGCCGACCGGUACAUGCAACUCAUAGGAGGUGCGUUGCCUGAUGAAAUCAACAGCGAACUGUUGCUGGUCCUGUGGAUCGGGCUGUGCUUCUGUUAGUGAAAGGGCCACUCGACGAUUGACUUCGUCAUGCAUUCUUUGUUCCAUAGAUUGCACUUGAGAUUCUAGGUUGCGCCACCAGCUCUGCUCAGCCCGAUCCGUUCUUCGCUCUUGGCUUCUGUACGAGUCUCUGUCGUCUUUGAAACCGUACUUCCACGGAACGAUCCCGAACCUGCGGACACGUCCUGGGUGCUUAGGAUUCCCGAGAGCCAAUGUGAGCUCAUCCAUUUCUCGAUCCACCACCAACCUCCCAGCCUUAACAUCUUCAAUGUUCUUGGCGAGCUGUUCGCCCUUGAGACGUAUUUCCUCAGUUAAGAUCAACAUCCCAUCCUCUGUGUUCAGUUUUCCUCCAUGAGCGAAAAACCAAUUUUUAGCUCGUUUGCUCCAUUCAUGAGUUGCUGGUACAAUACCCCGUUCGAGCAGGUCUUGUUCCAUCUUCUGAAAUUUGGGCAUUGCUAUUUUGUAACCACCUUGCCCUAGCUUAUGGUGCUCUUUCUUACAACUAGCAUUGUCAACGUUGAUGUUGAGUUUUUGCUGAUCGUCGUGGCUCCUCUUGUACUGGACAAAUGCCUCCUAGUGGCCGCUCAACUUUGGAAAUUCGUUGAAAUCUGAGUUUUGUCCUCCUUAAUGUACUUUGAAACUAGAAAUUUCUUGAAUGUUUGAAAUUGUGUGGCCGUCUUCUUCAGUGCCCAUGCUUUCACAUCCUUUUCAAUAUAUCCGGCGGGAAAUAUGAAAUGUUGCUUGACCUGUUCCCACAACAUAUCCUUUUCUGUUUGCGGCAGCGCGUCUGGAUCAUUGCCUUUUCCUCUCCAUUUCUUGAAGCUGAUGGGCAUAUUGUCCCUUACAACAGCCCCGAGCUGAGUUUGGUUCGUUUCCGUCGCUAGCCUGGCUCGCAUCGAAGGGAGCAACCGGCCUGCCAUCUUCUAAGGGCGCGUUUGGUUCGUUUCCGUCGCUAGCCUGGCUCGCAUCUGGUAUGCAGGCUAAGCUGGGCCAGGCUGAUUGCAUGCAGGUGAUCAUUGUUUGGUUACCAGGAUGAAAGUAGACAGGAUGAGCAGAGCACAUGUUUGGUUGCAUGUAUGAGCUAAGAACUGGCGAAUAGAGAAGAAAAAGCAGUUGUUUGGUUGGCUGCAUGUACCAGAGUUUGAAUACCAGAAUGUUGAAAUUGGUAAGGUUACCACAAGUCAGUUUUUAGGCCAGGUACUCAUACAACACGUUCAUACCAAUGGAGGUCAUACCAUAACUCAAUAUUACAACAAAGGAUUAUACAAGCUUGUACAAUAAAACUAGGAUAAUAAUGAACUGAACAAUGAUAAUGAUAUCUUUGGUUGGUGUGCUUGUUUUAUUCAGUUCUUUGUCGGCCUUGAACUGAGGAGGGGCUUGAUAUACAUGUUGGUUGUGACAGGCAGCCCAAGCUUGUUCUUCAGUGUUGUACCCUUUGAAACAGGCUCCCUUGAAGCCAUUGACUUGUUGAUGGCAAUCCCUCCAGGUGGAGAAGAUGCCAGUUUUGUGGCCAUAGAACACAACAUACCAAGUCAUAAUUGAAGUCCUAGAUUAGUUACACUGCAGCAAUACAAUGUGAGUUGUAAAAAAAUUAAUCAAGGAACAAUGCAAACAAAUGUUUGUGUGCUCAGAUCAUGCAGAAAUAAAUAAGGACAUCAUAACAGGCAAUGGAGUUGUACUCAGAUGAAGCACAAAUGAAUAAGGAUAUCAUAAAGGAAAUGGAGUUGUACUCAGAUGAAGCACAAAUGAAUAAGGAUAUCAUAAAGGCAAUGAGUUGUGCUCAGAUCAUGCACAACUGAAAAAGGAUAUCAUAAAGGCAAUGAGUUGUGCUCAGAUCAUGCACAACUGAAAAAGGAUAUCAUAAAGGCAAUGAGUUGUGCUCAGAUCAUACACAAAUGAAUAAGGAUAUCAUAAAGGCAAUGAGUUGUGCUCAGAUCAUACACAAAUGAAUAAGGACAUCAUAAUAGGCAAUGAGUUGUGCUCAGUUCAUACAUAACUGAAUAAGGACCUCAUAAAGGCAAUGAGUUGUGCUCAGAUCAUGCACAAAUGAAUAAGGACCUCAUAAAGGCAAUGGAUGUGUACUUCAGAUCAUGCAUGAAUGAAUAAGGUAAGAAAUAGGCAAUGUAACAGACUGAAUGAACAGAAGGUAAUGGAUGAUAGACAGAUGAAAUAAAUGCCAUAUGAAUAACUGCAACCAUGACCAAGUGUCCAUGACAUCAUAGGCAAUGUAACUGACUGAUCGAAUACAUCACAGAGGUAAUGUCCAUAGCGUACUGGCACCUUAACCCCCAACUACAGUCUCUACCUCUCUCAGACCACAACCUAACCAUACUUACCAGCCACAACCUAAGCGUGCUGUCUCAAACCAAAAGAAAUGGAGCAAAGUGUUUGAAGCUCCAGUCAGUCUAUCCUACACAAAAGAAGUCACUAUGCAAAAGAUAGAUCAGUCAGGAAGCAUGUAGAGGGAUCUACAUGUAGGAAUUCUUGGCAAGCCAUGUCCUUAGCCAAAGGAUGCGGUGGUUCUCAGCCAUGUUGACAAAGGCAUCACCCUGGGCCUUGUUGUCAACCAGAUGGGAGAAAGCACAGAUCAGAGCCUCCUCACUGAACCCUGGCAUGUACAUCACUGCACUGUACAGAUCAGGGUUCAACACCUCAACCUUGGUCUCACGGAUAGCAGAAGCAACAUCCCUCACUGCCUCAGUCAUACUGCUCAUCACCAGAUGGUCCUCCUCAGUGAGGACAGACCUCUUCCUCUUCUUGCUAGGACCAGAACCACUACUGACCUCUAUUAUAUCCUUGGGUGCUUCUCCAAAGACCUUAGCAACAUCAUCAAUGCACUUGGCUGCCUUGUCCUCAUCAUAUGGUUCAGUCUUCAUUGAGGUAUCUGUAAAGUCAGAUGGGCUACCUAGAGCCUCAUUAGAACCCAUAGCAUACUUGCCAGUGGCCAACCCAUUGCCAAAAAUGAUCAUCAUCUCCUUGUAGUUCUCAAUGUGUUUGUUCAGAAAUUCAGCAUCCUUAGGGUGUGCCUAAUUGUAGUGUGUAUGAUUAGUUAGAAAUGUUAGAAAUAAAACUAAAGGAUCAGGAUAAGAACAAGGUAAGGAAGAUCUAGGCAUCCCACACACCUUGAUGUGUCCCUUAUAGUGCUCCUCAUCAAGGCUGAUCCUGCAAUUCUCCUCAAUCCAGAGGGCACCACUUAGUUCCCUAAGCUUGGACACCCUCAUCCAUCUCUGUCUCCACUUCCUCAAGUGGUUAUACACUUGAGUACCAGACACUUCAUUGCCACUAAACUCCUGCAGGUACUUGGCAACUUGGUUCAGGUGGACCUCCUUGAAGCCCUUGUCUGUUCUAACACCACUCUCAAUCAGCUGGCACAUACGGCGCAGGAUAAAGGAAGACAUGGCACUAGUCCAGCGCAUAGCACCCUUAGGGCGCUGCUCUGCACCAGCCCCAGCAACAUGGACAACCUCAUCAGCCACUGCCAAAUCAAUCACCCCAACCUCCUCAGCCAUCCCUAAUGAAAUGCAUGCUUAACAUCAUUGCACAAACCCGUUGCCAUAUGAUCAGGAAAAAUAGAAUGUAAUUGAUGCAUGCUUAACAUCAUUGCACAAACCCAUUGCCAUAUGAUCAGGAAAAAUAGAAUGUAAUUGAUGCAUGCUUAACAUCAUUGCACAAAGGAAGUCAUUGCCAUAUGAUCAGACAAAAUAGAAUGUAAUUGAUGCAUGCUUAACAUCAUUGCACAAACUCAUUGCCAUAUGAUCAGACAAAAUAGAAUGUAACUGAUGCAUGUUCAACAUCAUUGCACAUGUACUUAACCUCAAGGAAGGUAAAAGAAAUAUAGGAACAAAUAAUCAUUGCACAUGUACUUAGCCUCAGUGAAGGUAACAUAACAACAGUGGAAUAAAUAAUCAUUGCACAUGUACUUAGCCUCAGUGAAGGUAAAAGAAAUAGAGGAUGAAAUGAUCAUUGCACAUGUCCAUAGCCUCAGUCUAGUUGUUCAUACAACAUAUUAUUACAUCAUCAUUGCACAAGUGCAUUGGCUCAGCUAACAGAACAACAGUUGAUCAUUGCACACAAACAGCAAGCUCUACACAUGAGAGGUGCCCCUAUUGUUCCACAUAUCAUUUGCAAUUUCAUUCCUUCUUGUACCCCAAUCUAAAUUGUCAUCUGUCUGAGAACCAUCAGCAGGUGCAGUACUACUACAAUUAGGUUCCCAUGUUGCUUCAUCAGGAAUAACCUCAGCCUGACCAUGGCUAAUUAUCCAAUUAUGAAGAAUACAACAUGCAAGAACUAAUUUGACUUGUGUCUUGAAUGGGUGGUAGGGCUUGUUGUCUAGAAUACGGAAUCGAUUCUUUAAAGCCCCAAAUGCCCUCUCAACUGUGACCCUUAGGCUUGAAUGCCUCAAGUGUAACAACUCUUUCUUAUUGGUAGGAUAAUUUCUUCCACCAUAUUCUUUCAAGUGGUAUCUAGUGGCUCGGUAAGGGGGCAUAAAUCCAGGACGACAUGCAUAGCCAGCGUCCACUAGGUAGAAUUUACCUAAACAAUUAAUUAGGUAGCCAAGAAUCAGUUGUAGUGGUUAUGUGAAAUCCCAAUUUGUGGUUUGUCUAAAAUUUUCUGUUACAAGUACCUGGAGGAACCCUUAACCCAUCAUCCCUCUCUAGAGCAUCAGCUAGAAUGAGUGCAUCAUGUGCAGAUCCCUCCCAUCCAGCUAGCACAUAAGUGAACCUUAGAUCAAAGUCAACUGCAGCAAGCACAUUUUAAGUAGGAUAGUGCUUCCUACCUAAAUGCUGCAAAUAUCUUUGCUGGUACUCUAGCAUGAACAUGAGUACCAUCUAUUGCACCAAUACAGUCCUACAUUAUAGCAAGACUUGUGAUUAAAGUUUGGUCAGGACUGCAGUUAGGUACAGGUAAACCUUACAUUCAUUUAAUUACCUUAAAAUAAGGAUACCACCUUGGGCUUGUUCUGAUUUUAAGUGUUGUCUCAGUUGAUGGUGGCCUUAUCAUCUCUCCCCUCAGCUCACCAAUAGCAUACAAGACCUCUCUAAAAUACCUACUUACUGUUUCCAUGGAUCUCCUAAAUGUUUGGUGGAUUACUCUAAAUCUCUGGUUGUGUCCCACAACAUGGAAAAACAUUGCUACUUGUUCCUCCACAGUACUGUUUAUUGUGUCCCUUAGCAAGUUUCUAUCCCUAAGCAGGUUAACAGGUUGAAAAAGGGAGCUCUACGCAUACGCAACAUGUUCACACAUUCUAUGUCAUUACAAUUAAAAAUUUUGUUCAGGUUGGCUUGGCGUUCCUCAUCCAUAGCACUCAUUGGGGCAUAUGUAAUCCGAGUCUGUGAAUUAUAGGCCACCCUGAGCCUACUCAUGAAGUAUGCAUAGAUGACAGACACAAAAGCAGCAACUUUUAUCACAAGCAUGCGUCUCUGGUCGACAGGGUUCAUCUAUUACACAAUGCAAAGCAUGUCUCAGCAAAACAACAAAUCAUUUUGAGCAUUCAACAAGUGGGUCAGGAAAAAAACUGCAUCAUCGCCUAAUGCACAAGUGCUCACAUAUAGGUAAAUCAGUGUAAUAAGAAUGCAUCAUUGGCUAAGGACAUGUGCUCAGUUUUCAUAUUUAUAAAGUAAUAUCAUCGGCCAAGAACAUGUGCUCACUGUUGAAAGUAAAUAAGCAUUCAUCAUCGGCUAAGAACAUGUGCUCACUGUUGAAAGUAAAUAAGCAUUCAUCAUCGGCUAAGAACAUGUGCUCAGUUUCCAGAGUAAGUAAGCAACCAUCAUCGGCUAAUGACAAAGGCUCACUGGAAAAAUCGUUACCGCUAGCUCCUUCAGGAAAAAGUCGGAGGGCUUUCAAGAGUUCAACGGGUAAGGCAAGAUAAAGGUAGAUCUGCACAUGAGAGAGAGGGAUUAGUAUCACAACAUGCAAGAUCCAAAUCGGGAGAAACAAGAACAGAUCAAAACCCUAAAAGAAAAAACUUGCCUUUUUACCUCCAACGAAAUCACCAGCACAGAUCCGACCCUACAAAUGCUCAAAACAUUAGGACCCCAAAAAAACCGAUGGAGAAAGGGAGCAAUACCAGAUCUGCGAGGGAUUACAAGUUACCUACUCUCUUUGCCACGAAACCCCGACGAAUCGAACCUCAAACCUGCGGAAUAUGAAGAGAGAGAGAAGCGAAAGGUCAACCAUCGAUUGAAUCGAGCCUCAAACACCACGGAUCUGGAGCACAAGGAAGAGAAGAUGUAUCACCUGCUACCACCACUCAGAUCUGGACGAGCAGGAAGAGGAGGACACGAGGAAGCGGGAGAGCUCAGAGCGGAGAGGCAGAGGGCAAGUGCGAGGGAGAGAAUGGGGAGAGGGGCGGCGGUGGUGAAGAUAUAGCGGGGAUGGAUGGCGCGAAAGGGGCGGCGGUAACCCUAGCUUCCCGUGCACGCCCCCGCAUCUCCCGCCUGCAUCUGAGGAGCCAUUUUUUCUGGGCACCGAGGGCGCGCUCGCGUCCCGCACGAGCCAGGCCGCCAAGAAACGGAAUCCAUUUUUUGUUUCCUGGCAGCCAGGCUCGGGGGGCUGUCUUGCACGCUGAGGGCCAGGCUCAGGUACAAAUACAGGCAUCCAAUCACUUCGACGUUGUAUCCCGAGGGCCAGGCCGAGGCAUAUACGGGGAAGCAAACGCGCCCUAACACUUCUGUGAUCUCUAGCUUUUGCAAUCCAUCCAUCACCAUGCUUCGACCUCGUGUCUUCUUAGGGUUCGCCGAUCCAGACGGCUAACAAUUCAAGAUUCGUUAAUUAGUACAUACUAACAACGAAAAAGACAUUCUAUGGGGUACAACAUUAUUAAUGACAUAUACCACGGCGGUAUCUUCUGCCGCGGCAAGGUUUUGCUCGGGCUCUUCAUUGCCAUCGGCGGAUAUGUUGAGGUACGUGUCCACCUGGUUUUUCUCUUCUUCGGUGUACGUUACGUUAUGAUCUCUACCAGCAAUAAUGUCCUCCAGCAUGCACCUUGCAUUCUUGUCAUCCGCCAUCUCAACUACUCCAAACACACAUGAAAUCAUAAUUACAUGUACGUUAAGGUAUAUAAAUAAAAUCAUAGAAAUGUACACAUGAAACCGUAGACGAAAUUAAAAUUACAUGAAAACUUCUUAAAAAUACACAAAAAAGCUUGAAUGAAACUUAAUUACAUGAAAUGUCUUAAUGUAUUACAAGUUAAUGUACAUACAUGAACUCAUAGAAGAACAACGUGAAACCAUACUAAUUUUUACUAAUUUCUACUGAAUUCUAUCAAAAUUGAAGCGUAAUUUAUUUAUAGAGAUUUCUACUAAUUUAUUGGAAUUUUUUAAAAUUUGUACUAAUUAGUACAAUUUCUAAAAAUUUCUACGAAAUUUAAUAACUAGAAAAUUUUAUAACUACCAAAUUCUAACUUCCUAUACAAUUUUACCGAUCCAAAAUUUUCUAUUAAUUUUAUAACUAGAAACAAAUAAAUAUAAAAGGCUUGCAUCACUGCCAAAUUUAUUCUAACUUCCUAUACAAUUUUACCAAUCCAAAAUUUUCUAUUAAAUUUAUAACUAGAAAAAAGUAAAUAAAAAAGGCUUGCAUCACUGCCUGCAUCCCUGCCAAAUUUAUUCUAACUUCCUAUACAAUUUUACUAAUCCAUAAUUUUCUAUUAGUUAUAUAACUAGAAAAAAGUAAAAAAAAGGCUUGCAUCACUGCCUUGCAUCAUCACUGCCAAAUGUAUUAACUAGCUAGAGCACCGGGUGCCGGGGUUUUACGCGCGCGGGCACGACUCGGGGUCGAUGACGCUCGAGGGUGGCCACGACAGCAAUGCGCGCGAGGCAGAUCCGGGCUCGAGGUGUAGACGGAGGACGGCGCGUGGACGGAAGAGUGAGGACGGGGCGCCGGACGACGGAUCGAGGAGGGAGGACGGGGCGCCGGAUGGAGGCCGAACGGAGGACGAGGAAGGACGGGUGCCGGACGGAGGAGGGGAGGAUGGGGUGCCAGACGGAGGAGGGAGGAUGGGGUACGUGGAUGGAGGAGUGAGGACGGGGCGCCGGACGGAGGAGGCCGCUCGCGGACGGAGACGAACGGCGGCACGGAUGGAGGUGGAGGACGACGGUGCAGACAGAGAGGAGGCGGCGAUGGGGAUGAAGACAACCAGCGGUGACGGGGACAAAGGCGGCAGUGUGACACCCGUGGAGCUGGCGACGGAGAUGAUACGGAGGCUAGAGAGGAGUUAAAUUUCACUAAGUUACCGGGUGCGGGGGGGAGUAGAAAUGCUAGUUACUUUUAUCCCCCCUACCAUUUAUCUUUGUUUGUAAGAAGAACCGAGAGAAAUGGACUUUUAAUCUCGUUCUUCUAACAAACCGAGAUAAACGGCCUUCCCUUUUAUCUCGGUUUUUAAGAAACCGAGAUAAAAGGCCUUCCCUUUUAUUCCGGUUUUGACGCACCCGGGAUAAAAGGACAACCCUUUAUCUGGGUUCGUAAGUAGAACCGGGAUAAAAGGUUACGUCCAGGCAGGAACUGAAAUUUACCCUUUUGUCCUGGUUCUAAUUACGAACCGAGAUAAAGGUCCUUACCAACUGGGAUAUAAUGUCCCUCUCCCAUUUCUCAUCUCCCUCUUCUUUUUUGAAAUAAAGUUUUUUUAUGUUUUCGCUAGAUUUCAUGCAGCAAAAAUUAAACUUUACAUAUUUCGAACAUGCAAAAAUAUAUUUAAUUAGCAAUUAUAUUUACAAUAAGUUUGAAUGGCACAUUAAUUCUACACUAGUUAUAUUGCCUUCUUAAAUAAUUAUUUUACUGCAUCACUAUCAUCAAGAAAUUAUCAAUUAAAUAAUUUAUAUGCACGAAAACAACUAAUUUAAGCACACAUGAAAUUGUAUCAAGUAGUACAUGAAAUUAAUCAUAAAUGUGAAGCAAAUUUAACGUAUUACAAUGUAACAUUAAAAACUUCUUCCUUACGAAUGUUCCUUGGUCAUGAUCACGACGCAAGAACGGAGCCUCUUCUUUGGAUAGCAGGAUGCUAGGGGUCAACUUCAACAGCGAAUGGAGGCAUGCCUGCAAACUGAGCAUAAUCAUCUGAUUGGUCUGUUUUGUCCUCGACUCCCACAAUUUUUCUUUUACUUGGAAGGACUAUGUGGCGCUUUGGCUCCCAUGGAUCUUCUAGAUUUCUCUUGGGUUUGCUAGAUAUGUCCUUAAAAUAGAAAACUUGAUGCACAUCAUUGGCGAGUACGAAUGGUUCAUCACUGUAUCCAGUCUUGUUAAGGUCCACUAUUGUCAUUCCAUACUGAUCUUUGGUUCCGCCAUUUAAAUUCACCCAUUGGCAACAAAACAGAGGGAUGCACAGCGGUCCGUAUUCGAUUUCCCAUAUCUCCUCUAUGAAACCAUAAUAAGAGUCCAUGCUACUAUUUAUGCCUAUGGCAUCUAUGCGGACACCACUAUUCUGGUUCGUGCUUUUCUGGUCUUGGGCUCUCGUGUAAAAUGUAUAACCAUUUAUCUUGUAGCCUUGGAAUUUCACGAUUAUGCUAGAAGGUCUCCUGGCUAACCAAGCAAGUUGUGGGUGAAUCCUAGAGUUACCCAUAAGUUGUUUGCGUAACCAGGAGGGAAAAGUUUCCACGUGGCUUCUUGUAAGCCAGGCAUCAGAUCUCGUCAGGUUUUCGGAAACUAACAUCUGCUUGUGCUACUCGAUAUACGGAGCCACAAAGGUUUACUACUGUAGAACAAUGUAGUGUGCCUUGUUGAACAAAUCAGCAUCAUUGCUCAAACAUACUUUCCUUCUAAGGGUGCCCAUUCCCCGCAUCCUCCCCUCGUGGCGUGAAGUUGGAACCCCAAUCGGGUCAAUUGAGUCAAUAAAAUCAAUACAAAACUCAAUCACCUCCUCUGUUCCAUAUCCCUUGGCGAUGCUUCCUUCUGGACGGGCACGAUUAAAAACAUAGUUUUUAAGACUGACAUGAACGUCUCCAAAGGCCACAUAUUGUGCAGAUAUAUUGGUCCGAGAAUAUUAAUCUCUUUUACUAGGUGAACCAGAAGGUGAGUCAUAAUAUUCAAGAAAGAUGGUAGAAAUACCAACUCAAAGCUAACAAGACAUUGCACCAUAUCAUUCUGUAGCUUUGUUAGCUUCGAUGGAUCGAUCACCUUCUGUGAAAUCGCAUUGAGAAACUGACAUAGUUUUACGAGCAGCAAUCGAACAUUCUCUGGUAGAACACGCCUCAGUACCACCGGAGGCAACUGGGUCAUCAACAUGUGGCAAUCAUGUGCCUUGAGAUUUGUGAACUUCUUUUCUUUCAUAUUUAUUAUUCUCUUUAUAUUCGAGGAGUACCCAUAUUGGACCUUUAGACUAUUCAAGCAUUCAAACAUGCUAUCCUUCUCUUCCUUGCUGAGAGCGUAACUAGCUGGACGUAAGUAGUGAUGUUCGUUAUCUCUCUUUUUUGGAUGUACGUCAUCCUGUUGCCCCUUUCUUUAAGGUCCCAUUAUGCUUCGAGUGUAUCUUUUGAAGGCCCAUAAACACCCAUGAUGCCUAGCACGUUCACACAAAGGUUAUUCGUCAGGUGCAUCACGUCUAUUGCGUUGUGGACAUCUAGGGUUUCCCAACAAGGUAGCUCCCAAAAUAUUGACUUCUUCUUCCAUAUCUCUGCACGUUCGUCAUCGUCGUUCGGAACAGGUUGGCUACCAAGACCUUUUCCAAAUACUACCCUUACAUCCUUUAUCAUCUCAAAGACACGUUUUCCAUUAUGAUGUAAAGGUUUUUUAUGAGUUUCUGGCGCCCCUUUGAAAUGCAUCCCGCUUUCUCCCAGCUGGUGGUGAGCAUGGAGAAAUCGAUGAUGACCCAUAUAGACUACCUUCUUACAGUGCUUCAAAUACAUGCUAUAUGUGUCCAAACACUACCCUUACAUCCUUUAUCAUCUUAAAGACAUGUUUUCCAUUACGAUGUGACGAUGUAAAGGUUUUCUACGAGUUUCUAGCGCCCCUUUGAAAUGCAUCCCGCUUUCUCGCAACUGGUGGUGAGCAUGGAGAAAUCGACGAUGACCCAUAUAGACUACCUUCUUAUAGUGCUUCUAUCUGUGUCGUCUAAGCAGUGGGUGCAGGCUCGAUAUCCCUUGUUUGUCUGUCCCGAAAGGUUACUUAGUGCAGGCCAAUCAUUGAUGGUCACGAACAACAGUGCUUGCAGGUUAAACAUCACUUGUUUAUCCUCAUCCCACACACGUACACCUUCUUCCUUCUAGAGCUGUAAAAGUUCAUCAACUAAUGGUCUUAGGUACACAUCAAUGUCGUUGCCGGAUUGCUUUGGGCCUUGGAUAAGCGCUGGCAUCAUAAUGAACUUCCGUUUCAUGCACAUCCAAGGAGUAAGGUUAAACAUGCAUAAGGUCACACGCCAAGUACUAUGACCACUACUCAACUCACCGAAUGGAUUGAAUCCAUCAGUACUUCGGGAAUGUUCCUUGGAUCACCUUCAAACUCCAGGAAUGCUCUAUCAAUUGAUCUCCACUGAGUCCCAUCAGCGGAGUGUCUCAGCAUCUUAUCUUCUUGACGUUCUUCUUUGUGCCAUCGCAUCAACUUAGCAUUCGCUUUGUUCCUGAACAAGCGCUUCAAGCGUGGUAUUAUAGGAAAAUACCACAUCACUUUCACGGGAACUCUCUUCCUGGGAGGUUGCCAGUCGACAUCACCAGGAUCAUCUUGCCUAAUCUUAUACUGUAGCGCUUCGCACACGGGACACACAUCCAGAUCCUCAUAUUCAGCACCACGAUAGAGGAUACAAUCAUUAGGGCAUGCGUGUAUCUUCUGAACCUCCAAUCCCAGAGGGAAAACAAUCUGUUUAGCUUCAUAUGUUGUGGAUGACAAUUCAUUAUUCUUGGGAAGAAUUUUCUUGACAAUUUCCAACAUCCCCUGAAAUACCUUAUCGGACACACCAUUUUUGGCCUUCCAUUGCAUAAAUUCUAGUGUGGUACCUAGCUUUUUAUGGCCUCCCUGGCAAUCUGGGUAUAGCAAUUUCCUAUGAUCAUCUAUCAUGCGCUACAACUUUGAUGCUUCCUUCUGAAUUUCGCAAUCUCUGUGUGCAUCCCUAAGCACCUGACCGAGGUCAUCAGUAUGGUCAUCUUCUACAAACUCAUCUUCAUCAGCCUCACCCAUUGUAGUAUCUGCAAAAGAUUGGCCUAUAGCGCAGUCCGGAAUGUUGUCAUCAUCCUCCUCCUCUUCACCAUCUUUCAUUACAACCCCUCUUUCGCCGUGAUGGGUCCAAACCAAAUAGUUAGGCGUGAAACCGUAUCUAAACAAGUGGCUGUGAAUAGUCCCCCAGGAAGCCUUUGAAUAGCACUUCUGGUUACUGCAUUGGGCGCAUGGACAAGAUAUGAACCCGUUCUCUGGCUUGUUCGCUUUGGUCACUUCAAGAAAAUUAUUCGUGCUAGCAAUAAACACCUUGCUCCGCUUGUCCACAUUAUACAUCCAUUACCUGUCCAUCUGCAUCGUAUUACGCAAGCCAUCAAUAAAAUAGAUUAUAAUAAAAAUAUCCAUCACAUUGCUAAAAUUUUAGAUAGAAAUACAUAAAUUAAAAUUUCAGAAGCAAACAACAUCAUAGUACGACAAACUCAAAUAUUGCUAAAAGUUACAUAGAAAUACAGAAAUUAUUUAGCUCAUAUUUAAUUUACAAAUAACUAAACUAUUAAAAAAUUUAAUAUUUCCCACAUAAUGUACUUAUUCUAAAAAUGGCUAAUUGCAUACCUCUAUCUGAAAACUAGUAAAGUAUCAAAUUACACCUACAAUUUAUAUGUCUAAUUUAUAAGUAUUAAAAACACAUUUACUCUAAUUUUUACCUAAUACAUAAAAUUGAAAUAAUCCCAAUGCUACCUCACAUUUACUAUCCAUUCUCUCUCACAUUCAAACUAUCCAUCACAUUGUAGCUCAAAAACAUGUAUAAAUACAAAUCCUCUACAUGCUUAACAACAAACAAACUCAUUUUCUCCCUCUCUAAAGUAUAAAACAAAGCUUAACAACAAUAAAUGAACGGAGCAUGAAGUAGCUAACCUUCACAACACUUUGGAUGGGUGAAAUCCCCACGGAAAUGAGGGAAAAAAUUUCAGCAGCACCUCCCCUAGGCUUGCUUCAGCGCCAUGGAGACGAUGAACUUCUCUGUCUUUGUGGAGUGGAGUGGCUCGGGUUGGAGGAGUGGAGGAGGAAGAAAGGGUACUUGUAGAUAAGAUUUUAUUCCGGUUGGUAAAUCCAACCGGACAAAAGAUUAGAGCUUUUGUCCCGAUUGGUGAUUACUCCCGGUUGGUAACGCCAACCGGGACAAAAGCUCCAACCUUUUAUCCCGGUUGGAAUUACCAACUGGGAGUAAAACGGUUAUCCCGGUUGGUGGCUCCAACCGGGAGUAAAGGGUGGCGCCGUCGGUGCCCCGAAACUAGCCGUUUUAACCUAGACUAAAAGGUGGCCUGUAGUCCCGAUUGCAAAAAAGAACCGAGAGUAAAGGUGCGCCCCAUUCCAGCCUACCGUAGCGCACCCCAUUUUCUCCCGGGCCGAAAUUAAACUAAGACUAAAGGGGUUGGGAUCUAAAGUCAAUUCUCUAGUAGUGUAUAUGCUUAAAAUCGUGACAAAAAACCAAAACAUCUAACCAUUAAUAGAUUUGCAUCCUCUCUCCACCUUGGAUAUAUCCCUACUCAAAGAGAAACAAUUUGCCAUCAUGCCUUAGUGACGCAUAGGAUCCAUCUGUAUUACUAUGGUCUCACAUAACGGAUCGUGGAAAGAAAAUAUGCAUACACCUUUUUCUCCAAGCAUCGAUCUGAGAAAAGUGAUAAUGGCUUUGAAGAAGGAGAAGCAAUAGCACGAAGGGCAUUGAGUGCAUAAGGUAGUACAAAACUAAAUAACGAAUAAUAAAUUAGAAAACUAAAACCAUUGCAUACAUAAUUAAUUUUUAUUUUUCUAAAUAAGCGUGCACGUGAGCGUGCCUAUUUCAUUGAUAUAGCAGAAAAGGGUACAACCGGGCUUGCGAGAGAAAUUAAAGUUACAACUCUACUCUUGGGCUAUUAAAGAUGCAAUAGAAUUUCCCCCUGCCUUCACCCAGGCAGAUGCCUCUUUCUUGAUUCUCCAGUUCCUCUCUUUCCUUAGGGCCUGUUUGGGAAGGGGUGUUAAAGCUUAACAGUGUUAAGUUAAACUUUAACACCCUCAAAUGAGGUGUUAAACUUUAACACAUGUGGGGUGUUUGGAUGGGUUGUUAAAGUUUAACACCUUGGCUGGAAAAAUGACUGCAUUACCCCUCAAUAAUGCUCUUAAAUGCUGUCUAAUACCCCUGCACAGCUUUGUGGUUGUUUGACGCCAAGUGCUGGCGUGCUUGCUUUUGGCGCCAAGAGCUGCUCGUGCUUGUGUUCGCUUGCUGCUCGUUCUUUGGCGCCAGGUGCUUUGGGCUUGAUUUUUUUUUCUCAUUCGGCCAAAUGAAAGAACUGAAGGAGAAAAAAUAUUCAAAUUAUUUUGAUUGUCCUACACAAGAUAGAACACAGAGACUACACAAAUGUUGUCAAUCUCAUUACAACACAAUCAUACAAAUAAUCUACGAUUUGUUGUACAAAGCAUUAGCUAAUUCAUCACGAAAUGCAUUCAUAUUACAAUCUUCAUCCGCUGCUUGGGUAUUUGUCGCAUGUCCUUCGUCGUUUGGCACUUCAGCCAUAGGAACGUAAUUUUCAUCCCGAUCGCACAUACCAAAGGCCCUAUUGGUUGUAUCAUUCUCUCGUAUGAAAUUAUGAAUUGCCAUGCAUGCUACUAUUAUUUUACUUUGUUUGUGCAUUGGAAAACUUGGUAUACCCAAUAAAAUCCUCCACUUCAUCUUCAACACUCCAAAUGACCUCUCGAUAACAUUUCUAAGGGUUGAAUGGGCAUAAUUAAAAGUCUCUUUCAUACCUUUUGGCAUUGGGUCACUCCUAAACUCCGGUAGAUGAUACUUUGUACCCUUGUAGGGUGCAAGGUAACCCGGACGAUUUGGAUAACCUGAGUCAACUAGGUAAAAUUUGCCUACAAAUGAAGACAAUUUUCAUGAGGUUAAUAAAGUUGCCACAUUCUACUAUACAAAUGAAAACAAAACAAGUGUACCUGCAGGAGGAUGCGGAAACUUGUCACCAUAUUUGUUUAAGGCAUCAGUGAAGACUCUCAUAUCAUGAACCGAACCAGGCCAUCCACUCACAGCAAACGUGAACCUCAUGUCGAAAUCACAAAUAGCCAGCACAUUCUGUGAGGUAUAUCCGUGUCUCCCGGUGUGCUGAACCAUCUUAUCAUUUGGCACCACAACCGGUACAUGCGUCCCAUCUAUAGCUCCUAUACAAUUGUUGAAGUAUGGGGCAAAACGAGAGUUUUUCAAUCUUUGGUGCACGGUCUUAAAUUCUGGAUCCUUUGACUUAAUAAUAUCCACUGCUAGCUUAAGAACACUUGACAAAACAUUAUCGAAUGUACGGCUUAUUGUUUCUAAGGACCUUACAAACAGGUCCUCAACCUGUCUAAGGGAUUGUGGUGCACCAAUUAUCCAAAGGAACAUUCCUAAAGCCUCCAUCGUUCACAUUCCUCUAGUUGCCCUCAACCCAUAGGUGUCAACCAACAAGUCAUGCAGCUGGUGAAACAAUGGUUUUGACAUCCUAAACAUGUUGUAGCAAGUGGUUCUGUUAGACAGUGUUUCAUGCACCCAUUCUAUACCCGACACAGUAGCAACCCUCUGUGGACCUUUGUCCAUGUAAGUUUCACAGUACGUACCAAUUAUGAUUGCGGCCGUUAACAUGUCCCGAGUCCUUUUACGACGAUACUAUCUCAUCCACAUGAAAGCAAGAAUCUCUUUUGAAAAGUUAUCAUCUGAUGAACUUGUCUCAUCAUCAUCAAAGUAAGAUUCCUAAGGCAGCAAAGAAAAACAAGUCAGUCAAUCCAUACGAAUUACAAACAGCCACAUUUUUAUCACAUUAAAUCCAUAAAAAAUAAAAAACAACCACUAAUUUAUCACAUUCAAUCCUUAAAAAAUGAAAACAACCACAUUUUUAGCACAUUCAAUCCUUAAAUAGAACAAAUAGUUACAUUUUUUACAUAUUCAAUCCAUAAAAAUAACAAACAGCCACAUAUUCAAUCCAUAUUGUUCAAACAACCAGACUUAGUACAUAAAAGGAACUCUAAUUCCCUAAAAUAGCCACAUUCACUCUUUAGGAUAACUAGUUACUACUAACAGUAUGAGGCACAUUCACUCAACAAUAUUGUUCUCUUUGCAAUAUCUCUUCAAGUGAAGUAGCCUUCCUUCAGGAGUAGGUAUGUUGCAAAAAAUUUCCCUCUCAUAUGGAUCUUUGAAUAAGUGUCUGCCUGCAUAGAACUCUACAGUUUCUAGGGUUGCUCCACAUUCCAAAGCCAGCUGUUGACACUUCUUAACAGACUGAACCAUCUCUUGCAUAGGGUUGAGCUUCUGUCUUUUCUCAUUGAGACUGGUUGCAAGACUCUCCCCCACAUUCCUUAAUAAGUUAUCAUCUUUAUCAGAGGUACUCAAUUUCUCAACUAAGCUGCUCACCAUCUUCAUCAAAGGGCUUUUAGAUUUCUUUCUAGGACUAGUGGCCGUUGACUUGGUGCUGGUGAUACUUGCCCUCUUCUUAUUGCUAUUGCUGACUGGGCCAUCUUCAUAUUCAUUAACAAACCCAUCUGGACCAUAUUGAUCUUCUUCCUGUACAUCUUCACCAUCUUGGUCCUCAUCCUCUUCACAACCAGCCACAAAAGAGGUAGAGCCAUCCACUACAACAUCAUGAAACAUCUCCUCUAGGUGAUCAAUGUAAUCUAGAACACCAUACUGAAAUUUCUUACAUUCACUAUAUUUGCCCUGCAAAUGGAUUUUGAUGUUAUACAUCAAUGCACAUAAAAGUUACUGUAAACUGAUUUCAAAUUUAGUGAAUACCCCUCACCUUGGUGUUUUUUGUCCAUAACCAAGCUGGGGCAUAUAUACUACCAUCCCCAUUCCUUCCAAGACCAGUAUCUUUUUGUAUUGCUUUCCAGAAAGUAUGCAAUGUUUUUAGUUGAUUAAUUCUGUUCCUGAUCUGGGACUUCUAAUAUCUCAACCCAGUGGCCAUGUGGUAUUUCUCAACAACUGUCUUCAAACCUCUUGUAGUCAUAGAUCCUUUGGGACAGUUGCCUGAUCUGAUCUGCUCAACCCAUAAAUCACACAACAAACUGGUAUUUUGUUCUGUCCAUUGUGCCUUGUCCCAUCUAUUUAUCUAGUGCAUAACAGAGACAUAGAAACCCAUCACACACAGAACAGGUAACAACAAUGCACAUUAUCACAGUGUAAAACUAACCAACACAAAAUUAACCCAAAUUCCUGUUUCUAACUAUAUCCUGCUUUCUAACUAUUUUCUAACUAAUUCCUAUUUCCAAAAUUAACCCAAACAAGAACAACCUGAGCAGGUGAACCUUAACAACACAAUGUACACCAUAUCAUUCUUUCUGAACUACCAACAUGGACUACCAUUUCAUCUUUCUGAACUACCAACGUGGACUAAGCAAGCACACAAUGUAACGUAGCAAAACCAUGAAUAGAUGAACACAAAUUGUAUCUUGCCAAAACUAAAAUAGAUGAACAAAUCAAAGAUGAACAGAUCAAUAGGAUGAGUAUCAGAACUAACCUUGGAGGUGGGGAAAAUAAGUUCGACAUUCUGUGGACCACCUUCUUCGUCGUCAACAUCAACCCAAUCCUCUCCACUAAAGGAUUGGGUAUAAUCAGCAGUGGCUGUACCUCCACGACCGCUGGAACGUCUUCUGCGGCCGUAGGAACGGCCUCCGCUGCGUCCGCCGCUGCUACCGGCACCGUCGGGCAACGAACCAACGAAGAGAGGCCUUGUCGCAGGUACUCUGCUGCGUCCACCGCUGCUACCGGCUCCUCGGCUACCGCUGGCACCUUUGCUGCCGCCGCCACCUCUGCCACCGCCACCUGCUCUGCUGCCGCUGCCUCCUCUACCUCCACUGCGAGGCCCGUGUAAGCCGAGGGUACGGCUACCGCGGCCCCGGGGUGCUCCUUCUCCCCGAAGCAUCUCGGUGUAGGAGUUGUAGUCGGCAAAAUCUUCGGCCUGGGUAUUCAGAUCCAGGGCUUGCAAGCCCUUGCGAGGACCUCCAGAAGAUUCCGCCUGCGAGAAAAGGUCGAAGGCGCCAGCGGGGAAAGGUGGAUCCGUGUGGGGGAAAAGCUCUUGCAAUCCAUCGUCGCCGUGCCCGUCCAUGAGGCCUGGGGAAGGGUUCAGGGCAAUGCGGCGCACUCCUAGCGGCGUCGAUGCCGUGGAUCUGGGACGCGGUGGGGGAAAACGAAGAAGGGCGGGAGGGGAGUUCCUGGAGGCGGGGUGGGGAUGGCGGUGGGGGAAAGAAAUGGAUUCGGAGGGGAAGGUAACGGGAGGGAGAUAACGGGGAGAGGGGAUGGCGGGAGGGGAUGAACCGCGGGCGGGAUGGAUGGCUGGCAGGAGGAGAUGGCGGCUAGCGCGGAGGAAGCGAUGCGCCGGAGGGAGGGUGGGGAACAGAUGCGGGAGGGGAAGGAGUGGGGGACAGAUGCGGGAGGAGGACGCGCUGACGGCGGGUAGGGGAGAGAGAAGAGGAGAGAGACAGGGGGCAACCAGGGAAUAAGUGGGGAGGGGGACCACUUUUAACACCUUUGGCAACCAGGGAAUAAGUGCCGCGCAUGCGUUGCCGCCGCAUUCGAGGUUGCCCGGCAGCAGUGCGCUCUCGGCAAGGACGACACCGUCUUCUAUGACGCGUGCCCCCUCCGCUUCUCCGACAAGAAUUUCCUUGAACUCCUCCAUAAUGAUUCCAUGGCAGCUUCAGCAGAUUUCAGCGAUGGUGCGCUCAUCUUGAUGAAUGUCACCACCGAGCCCUUGUUCUCUGAUAGGCACAAGAAGGACCUCAUCACCCACGUCAUCAACAUGGCGCUGAAAAACACAGUGCAGACGGUGUUCAACAACACAGGGAAGCACUCCGCCGCAAUCCGCAUGACGACCGAUGAUGGAAGCGGAAGCAUUCCGCCAAUCUAAUCCAUGGCGCAGUGUGUGCCGGAAUUGAUAGAUGAUUUCUGCUAUAACUGCCUCACGAAUUUCAGCAACCUGGCGAUGACGAACUUCGUCGGACAGCAUCGAGGACAGAUCCUUGGUGUGUGGUGUAAUCUGAGGUACGAUACGUAUCCGUUCUAUGGCAGUGAGCCCGAGCUGAAAUCCGGGUCGUCGACUGGUCUUGUUCCAACUCCCAAUCACAAGAGUAAGCAGCAUUUCUUUACUGUGCAUUUACUCAUCAAGGAGAAGAUUGUUUUCAUAUCACCACGUCAAGCAUUGUAACUAGCUAACCAUUUGCAUUAAUUUAUUUAAUAGAGCCUCUUGGAAGGGCCUUGAUUAUUGCCUUGGUUGCUCCACUAUUUGCAUUGUUUGUCUGCGUCCUCGUUUCCUUCAGAUUCAUAAGGCACAUAAGAGGUCGGCAACCUUGACAAAAAUAUUUUUGAGCUUUAUUUCAUGUUUUUUCAAAAUACUAGAUUGGUGUGAUUGUGCAUUAAGUUUAACUGAAUGUAUCACAUCAACUCUGAAUUUAGCUAAGAUGAAUGUCCAUGAAGAUGAAACACUGAUUUGGGGACUGGAAGGAAGGAAUCCGGAAUUCACGAUUUAUGACUUUUCACAAGUAUUAGAGGCUACAUGUAAUUUCUCGGAAAACAACAAACUUGGGCAAGGAGGCUUCGGUCCUGUAUACAAGGUACACAUGAAUAUGCCCAUACUCAAAUAGACAAAACCAGAACUUCAGCUUUACAUAUCAUUCAAUUAUGCAGUUAACUCUUCUUCGUUUCUGAUUUGUCUCCGACAGAAUAUUAGUCAGGUAUCACUAACGGUCGGUUCUAAACUUGUCCCAGGGCCGAUUUGCUGACGGGCUGGAGAUUGCAGUCAAGAGACUUGCUUCACAUUCAGGGCAAGGCUUCACAGAGUUCAAAAAUGAAAUACAACUCAUAGCUAAGCUCCAGCACACAAACCUUGUUAGGCUCUUAGGAUGCUGCUACCAGAAACAGGAGAAACUACUAAUCUAUGAAUAUUUGCCAAAUAAAAGCUUGGACUUCUUCAUUUUUGGUAUUACUUCUCACUUCAUUGCAAUACAAAAUCUUGGUUAUUAAAUCUAAGUGUCAAAUGUAUUUUCUUUAAUAUACCUAUGAUAAAUAAUUUGUAGAUGAAACCAGAAGAGCCUUGGUAGAUUGGAACAAACGGCUAGCAAUAAUAGAAGGGAUAGCACAAGGACUUCUAUAUUUACAUAAGCACUCUCGCUUGCGUGUCAUCCAUAGAGAUCUCAAAGCAAGCAACAUUCUUCUGGACCAUGAAAUGAACCCAAAAAUUUCAGAUUUUGGGCUCGCAAAAAUAUUUGGCAUAAAUGAUACUGAACGAAACACAGAGGAUUGUUGGGACAUAGUAAGACUUACCAACUUGUCCAUCCCAGCUAUAGAAAUAGCUAACAAUACUGUUACUUGACAUAAGGAUCUAAUUACAUAUGUCCUUUCAGUGGUUAUAUGGCUCCAGAGUAUGCUUCAGAGGGCCUCUUCUCAGUCAAAUCUGAUGUAUUCAGCUUCGGUGUGCUAAUUCUUGAGAUUGUCAGCGGUCAAAGAACAUCAGGUUUCCACCGAUAUGGAGACUUCAUCAACCUUCUUGGGCACGUAAGUGUUUUUAAAUUCUGAACAUGAAAAAAAUGUGUUUAUGAUCUUUCAAAAAUGGUAAGGAAAAACUUUUGAAGGGCAUGACACUGUUUUCAAACUACCGCGACUACUCCACCACUAACAGUAUCCCCUUCUCCGGUGGAUCAUUGAAGCAUUUCCAAAAUCACGAAGUCCCUUUAUGUAUUUUGUCAUCAUAAUCUUUCUGCAUUUUGUGCUCGUGCACUUUGCAGGCAUGGCAGUUGUGGAAAGAAGAAAGAUGGCUUCAGCUCGUGGAUGCAUCAAUUGCUGAGAAUCAGAAUCUAGGGAUGAUGAGAUGUAUUACUAUCGCAUUGUUGUGUGUCCAAGAAAAUGCUGCUGAUCGACCCACCAUGUCAAAUGUGAUUGCCAUGCUAAGCAGUGAAAGCAUGACCUUGCCUGAGCCUAAGCACCCGGCAUAUUUCCAUGUAAGGUUGACAGAGGAUGAUGCGUCCACACUUGUGGAGCCUUGCAGCCUCAAUGAUGUCACAAUAUCUGGUGUUGAUGGCAGAUAAUUUCCAAAUUUCGUUUUAGAUCAUGUUAAAACUUUACUAUUUUGUUCCACUCAAGGGCUUUUCCAGUCUUAACUUUGAAAUUGUUUUGUGUUUCAGCUCCACAGAGUAUCUCUGUGUUCCUUAAAUGAAAUGGAGCAAAGCAUAUGCAUGGUUCUGUAGUUUCUCCUUUGUUCAUUUCAUUCAGAACAUGAUCUGAUCUGUAUACACUUGCCUGCCCCUUUGGAGCUACUGUAUCAACUAUCGGUACUACUUGCUUGUGGCAACCCUUAAGAUGCAGAUACUUUAUAACUUUAUAUACUUCCUUUACUAUAAGAGAACACGAUAUGGGUGGGUUUAGCAGCAAACCAAAAAUGACUGCAUGCCAUUUUCUACUACAUCAACAGAAGGACAAGCAUGAUGCAUUCAAUGUUCUCUAAGAUUUACAACUUCAAACAACUUACCACCAAUCAAUUGUCAGUACCCUUGUUUUACCAUGAUAACAAAAUGCAUGGCUUCUGCGCCAUAUCAUGCCUUCCAACAUGACUGAGGUAUCUAUUGCAUAGUCGACCGUAAUCCUUCAGAUAAUUUAGAAAAAUGUCAGACGCAAAUUUUUAUGCAUAAUGGUCUGGUCACGGAAACAUUUUUUCCCCAAACAAGUUGAUUAUUACAAAUCCAUUUUCUUUUGAAUCAAAAUUGCAAAGGAAUACAUUUGAAUUUGGUUUAUGCUUUGUACUGGUAUGAUAUGACUAAGCACGUUUUCUUUCACUAUCCAUUUCCUUGUAGAAAACUACAUCUGUUACCCAAAUUAAUUUGGACACAGCUACAAACAUUCUUAACGAACAGACACCAGUACGACUUAUACCUUGUUUCGUAGAGCUCCAGCUCCUACCAAAACCGCUCCAGCUCCAGCUCCUUUAGUGGAGUGACUUCUCUGGUGGAGCUGAAGCCAUUUUAGAAAACAUUUGGUAAAUAGCUUCCUGUGUUGAACUGACAGUAGAGGUACCACGUUCAGCGUAAAAAUUUUGAACAGAAAAACAUUGCCCGGCACCUCCCUUUCACUUCUCAUGCAUGGUGGAGCUAGCAACCACCAGCUGACAGCAGCAAGCGCCAAGCGAUUAUGCGCGCAGCUCCUCUCUUGGCUUCGAGGCGGCGCGAGCAGAGGCUGCGGAACAGAGGAGCAGAGCAGAGCAUAGCCUGCGGAACAGAGGAUCAGAGCAGAGCAGAGGCUGCAAAGCAAAAAGUUGCUGUAAGUAUUUUUAGAAGAGAGUUAGAAAGUUAGAUCAACUUACAAGACGAGCGACAAUAAAACUAACACCACUAAAGCAUUUUGGAAAUUUCGAGAGAGGCCGGAUGAUGCAUGCUUUUGUGGUGAUGUGGUCACAACUACCAUGGUCAUGUUCUUGCUUCUUCUAUGCAUGCCAAACUCAACAAGCAUGCACAUCGACUGGAGGUCGCGACGUAUGCCUGUAUAUAAAGCUCUUUACAUCCAUUCAGUUGUCAGAGUGAACAAGUAGCGCUGGUAGCUAAAAACCCCAAAGGAAUUAGCAGAGGUGAGAGAAGAGGCACAUCUCUGCUCAUGUAACACUCCAAGAAAUGUGUUGGAACAAUUUCAUUUGAUUUCUUUCCCUCUUCGUGCAUUAGUAUUACGAAAUUGGUGGUUGACAUAGCAGGAACCAGAAGGAACUACAAGUGCAGAUAGAAAAAAAAGUCAUGUGAGAUGUUGGAGAAAACUGACUUGAUCAAAUGACUCAAGGAAGCCAUAUCAGUCAUUCAACACAAAUCUUCAAACUUGUCUGUUGAGGAUCUAGGCCAAGGAUAUCACCUUCGCUCGUUCGAGGUCGAGCGUUAUUGAACACCUUCGGAGCUCAAAGGUGCAGUGUUCUUUGUCCUUGUUUGCAGGAAUGUAAACAAUGGAUCUCGAGAAGUGAAGGUGUCGUAGAUACGGUAGAGUUGGAGAACAAGCAUGGUGGAAGAGGAUUGAGGACCAUGAAGGUGAACCGAAGACCGCAUGUUAGAGACAGGGCAACAUGAUAAGCGUGACCCUCGAGUAAGCGUGACCCUCAAGUAGCGUUCAGGUUGGAUUAGGAUUCUUUUGUUACCAUUUUGUAAGGCACAUUCCAUGAAUGCGGAUGUUGAGUGAGGUUGGUUUGGGUAAAGAAAAGGAGAUUCUGUUAUAUUUUAAAAAAUACACAAGGUGUUGUUCCCACUUUUCAUUGAGUGGCAUUGUGUAGAUCGGUCGUAGACAAAAGCUUGCGGGUGAAUGUUUAUCGGACAGCUAGCCGGCUGUGAAGACGUGUAUCCUUAUGGUCUAGAAACUUGUUGACGUACGCAGCCCUGAGAGCAAGUGGCUGACGAACCCCUCUUGUCCAAGAGGCCACGUUGUUACGGGCGUUCACCAACAACGUAGCAAUGGAUACGUGCUGGCAAGGAACACUAGCCGUACACUACCGGAAAAAUCACCUCUAGCCCCUCUAAUAUCGGUUCCUUAAGGACUUGUUAAAAUAACCGGUAAUCCUUUAAUACCAGUUGAGGAUACCAACCAGUACUACUGUACUAAAGGGCCUCCCACACCUCGCGGGGCACCCUCAUCAUUGCUGGUACUAUUUUUUUCCACCUCAUCAUUGCUGGUACUAUUUUUUUCCAUUCUUUUCCACUGAUGCAAAUAGCUCGCUAUAACUUUUUUAGACAGGUGCUGCGAUGAUAUUGCAAAUAUUACCGCUAAUGCCACUAACUUCGCUAUUGCAUGAAAUAGCACCGCUAAAUUCAAUAGCAUAGCGCCGCUAACUCCGCUAUGACUGAGUUACGAUCUUAUAUACUUGUGAUUUAUGAACUAUGAGUGAUGACUUAUGACUUAUCUUGUGAGUUGUGACUUUUUUUUAUGCUUGCACUUAUGCCUGGACAUGUACUUAUGAAAUAUGAGCUGAACUUCAUAAAAUUACUAGGGUCUAAAUGUUGUUGGAUUUUUGCAUAACACUAAAUACCAUAGCUGCCGCUAUGGUAUAACUUUUCCGGGACCACUCCACUAAAUUCUAUAGCUCGUGAUUUGCAACAUUGUUCUUUUCUUAUUUUCUAUUUCUUUAUUUUAUAUUCGUAUUUCAUAUUUAUUUUCUUUACGUAUAUUAGUUCUAAGACACUAACAUAUGUAAAGUUCUAUUUAUCUUUAAUAUUACAUUUAAGAUACUAUUAUAUAUAUACCUAUUGUAUGCAUACACAUAUAUGAAUAAUAUUACACACAUAUAUAGACAUAUUGUGAAUACAAAUAUCGUAUCUACUAUUCUGAACCCUGAUGAUGCUGUAGAUUUGAUCCGGUAUUACGAAACUCCUCCGCAGGAUUUACGACUUCAUCUUGAAGAAAUCCACAUAGUUGUUCUUGUAUUGCCCUGAAAACUUCCAUGUCGAAGAGUUUAUCCUUCCUAUACAUGAUCUGUAUAUACACAUGGAUUGGUUAAAAAACUAUAAGCUUAUGAAUUGAAAUACUAUAUACAUAUGAAUUGGUAUUUGAAGUAUAAGCAAAUGAAUUGAAAUACUUAAUCUAAUUUUUCUAAGUAUAUACACAUGAAUUAGUUUUUGAAGUAUGAGCAAAUGAAUUGAAAUACAUAAUCUAAUUUUUCUAAGUAUAUAGACAUGAAUUUGUUUUUCAAGUAUAAGCACAUGAAUUGAAAUACUUAAUCUAAUUUUUCUAAGUAUAUACACAUGAACUAAUUUAUUGUUGAGAAUUUUGUAUAUGUAUGUCUAAUUCGUGGUUGGUCAAACGCUUUGGAUGCAUAAAGGCGUGGAUGAACUCACAUACGUAGCAUCCACGUAAAUUAGUACCCUCCAGCUAUCUCGCACACUAUAUAUAUGGAAAAAAGUUAUGAAAUAUUUGUAGUGUUAAAUAAAGUGUCACGAGAUGCGAAAAUUCAACACAUACCAGGAAUUCGACCCUCCAAUCAAGUUUGCUUAUUGGGUGUAUGAUGUCUUGGAAUUUUUCUUUUUUUCCUCAAUGAGUCGAAGACAUAUACGACACUCAAAUCGGGCACAACAACAAUGAGAAUCCAAUGGUACUGUACAGCUUAAUUAAUGCUAGUUAGUCUUAUGUUUAACUACUAGUUCGAAAAAGAAAGAGAUGAAAAACACGCUUACUCGAAGUUGGACGGUAGUAAUAUGAACCUCUUGUAAUAUUGUUUCUCGAGGAGCUUAUAUAUAUUCUUCAUGGUCUGAUUUGGUUUAUCCCUUAGAUUUGCCUAGUGUAUAAUUUGGGGGUCCAUGAAUUCUAUGUCAAAGUGUCUCUUUUUGCGACAAGUUUGAAUCUCCAUCCGGCAUGAUACAAAAUUGAAUAGGAGUUAAGACAUCACAAAUUUACUAGAGCGGGAAUUUUGAAGUUAGAGGAAUAUACUAAAGACUUACAGGACCCAGCAAUUGAUCAUUUCAUUGUAAUUGAUUAAUGUUUUUAUUUGAAGUCCAUGUGUAAUAUGCACUCAUAACUUAUCAAGUUCAACUACUCAUGCUGAAAUAGGUCACUAUAAAAAUCAGCGUUAUUGAUGCAAUAACAUUAUCGAAACACGUUGUCGCUAAUUCCAUCCAAACACCGUACUCUAUAACCUCAAAUCGGUAAUUUUCACGUAUUUUCUAUAAUUUCUAGCUACUCCAAUAAUUUUCUAUAUUUUCUAGCUAUUUUCUAGUACUGCAGAAAUAAAAAAACUCAUGAUUUCCAAUGGUUAUACAAAUGCUUCUACAAUUUCUAUAUACUUUUCUAUAAUUUUAAAUAAUUUUCUACAAUUUCUAGAUAAUUUUCUAGCUAUUUUCAAUAUUUUUGUACAAUUUUAGAUUAAAAUAAUUUAAUGACGUUACGACGGCCGCGGGCUUACAUCAGCGCGAAGACGAGCCCGUGGCUGCUAUGAGUCAGGGGCGCCGGGUGAAGGCCUAGGGUGAUGGGGCCAGCUGGCAAGGCGCGCGGUCGACGGGGGGCGGUGGCCGGUCGGGGAUGGAGAGGCACGGCAAGGCGGCGGCGUGGAGGGAGGUGCGCGGCGUGGUCGGGCUGCAGGUGACGGGGAUGGUGGUGGUGACAGGGUCGGGGGCGACAACAGACGUCGACAGAGCUGGGGGCCGGGCGGGUGACGCGGCCGUCCAGGGGUUAUGGAGCGUUGGCGUGACGGAGGCCGAGGGUGACAGGAAUGGCGGCGACGACGGGGUCGGGGGCGGCGGGUCUGGCUGGGGGCAAUGGAGAGCAAGCUGGCGAAGCGGCGACGGGGUCGAGGGUGGCGACGACGGGAAUGGCAGCGGCGAAGACGGGGCGUGACGACGACGGCGAUGGGGGCGCGAGGCCGGCGGACACGGAGGCGGCGGCGGUGGAUCGACAAGGAGUUGUGAAAUGGCUAAGUGUUGGGGGAGAAGAAGGGCAUAGCGCGACUUUAACCACCCUCCUCUAGUACCGAUUGUAGUUAAUUUACACCCGGCAAAUGAAUUGAAAUACUCAAACUAAUUUUUCUAAGUAUAUACACAUGGAUUGGUUUUUGAAUUACAAGCAUAUAAAUUGAAAUAGUCAAUAUAAUUUUUCUAAGUAUAUACACAUGGAUUCGUUUUUUAAGUACAAGCAUAUGAAUUAAAAUACUCAAUCUAUUUUUUCUAAGUAUAUACACAUGGAUUGAUUUUUGAAGUAUAAGUAAAUGAAUUGAAAUACUAAAUCUAAUUUUUCUAAGUAUAUACACGUGGAUUGGUUUUUGAAGUACAAGCAAAUGAAUUAAAAUACUCAAUCUAAGUUUUCUAAGUAUAUACACAUAGAUUGGUUUUUGAAGUAGAAGCAAAAGAAUUGAAAUAGUUAAUCUAAUUUUUCUAAGUAUAUACGCAUGAAUUUGUUUUUGAAGUAGAAGCAAAUGAAUUGCCAAUUUUUCUAUUUUUCUAAGUAUAUUAGUAUUUAUACAAAAGAAGAAUGAGGGUAUUUAUAUAAAGAAAAUUAGUACCGGUUGGGGUAGCAACCAGUACCAGAGGAUCACCUAACCUACCUACCAACCGGUACUAGAGGGUGGGCGACCCUCUAGUACCGGUUGGUGGCACCAACCGGUACUAAUGUGCACCCUUUAGGACCGGUUGUUGCCCAACCGGUACUAAAGUUAUCCACGGGGCGUGCUUUAGGUUGUAUCCGUUGGAACCGGUACUAGCAUUAGUACCGGUUCCAAAUGUGACCAGUACAAAUGUUUGGGACGAGAGGUCAUAUUUCUAUUAGUGGUAAUUAAUUUCCAAAGGUACACAUACAUUUGCAAAUCUUCCAGCCAGAUAAACCCCCUCUAAACAAGAAUUAGACAUCAAAGCAUCAUCUUGUUUUUCAUAUCGACGCUGGAAGAGCAGAGACUGAAGAACAGAGGUGUGGAGCCACAUGAGGCGGCCAUUCAAAGAUGUACUUUUGCAACCUUCUGCAGCAGUAGAACCGAGCCAGCCAUGCCUGGGAUGAGCGCCCACCAGAUGAUGCAGGCGUUGUCGUCUUCACUCCCUUUUUUCUGAAAGGAUUUUCUGUAAAUAUUACUAGAAGGGAGUUUGAAAGAACAAGUAGAUCUUUUUGUGUGUUUUUGGUGUGUUGGAAAUUUGGUGAGGCAUGCCUCUUGGUGGUGAAUUGGUAGAAAGCAACCUGCAUGGUCACGUUUUUUCCUUCUUCCCGAUGCAUGCCAAACGCAUCCAAUAUGCGCAUGGACAGGAGCGCAGGACGUAUGACUAUACGUAACACCGUUUACGUCCAUUCAGUUGGCAGAAUGGAUAAGCAGCUUUGGUAGCUCUCACUCCACAGGAUCUAGUAGAGAUGAGAAGAGGCACAUCUCUGUUCAUGUAGCACUCUUAGCAAUGUGUUAGAAUAUUUUCCUUUGAUAUCUUUUCCUCAUGUAUUUGUAUUAUGAAGUUGGAGAAUGACAUCGCAGGAAUCGGAAGUAAUUGCAAGUUUAGAGAGAGAUGUAAGAUUCCUUGUAAUUGUGUGAACUGGCCAUGUGCCUCUGCUGACAAAGGUAGAUGCACUGUAUCCAGCAAAAUGCCUUGUAAAACCUCCUUGAUCGUGAUUCUUUCAUCUUUUGCAAAGGAAGCUAGCUGUGGAAGAUCAUGAGAUAGGAGAUGAUUGUUCCAAGUAUCCUUCCAGAACAAAACUGUGCUUAGACCGUUAGUUAUUUAAUCUGAUGACCCAUAUCAGUCGCCGCCCGUCCUACCAAAAUGUGAUGUCAUACAUAUCUCAGCCAUUUAAACUUUAUGUACUAUCUUACUAUCAUGUUAUUUCUUAAGCCUUUAGGUACUUUCGUGUAGUGAAGAUAAAGAUGAAGUUUUCUGCAUCUCGCAUUCAAGGUAUCGAUAUUUUGAAGUAGCAGGCAGCAGCAGUCAUCUCCGCUGGCAAACAAGGGUGAUGAUGGAUAAAAUGUAUGGAAGUCAUAACGGAUGCAUGACAAAUGGUAGAAAGUGGCAUGUGAGUAAGUGACUCAUGCUUGUUUUGAUGCUAAUUCAUGCCAACCCAUCUGGGGGACAGGCAGUAUAUAAUUUACAGUAUCGUCGUCUAAAUGGUUCUGACAGUGAACAGGUAGUAUAUCGAUAGCUGUUACUCAAAGGUCCACUCUUUUCUGACUGUUCACGUAGCACACCAGCCAAAGAGUUUCAACAAUGCCCCAGCAGGUUUUUUCUAUUUUUGUGCGUGCAUGAGAAAGGCACAUGUUUAUCAGACAUUGGAGGAAACUGAACAGAGAAAACAAACCAGACAUCCAGAAGUCUCAUGCAUGCUACAGUAUUUUGUGAAGGAGUGCUUUUUUUCCUGGAACGUGGUGUUUGAUGAAUUAAUGUUGUAACCCUUAAAAGUUUAUCAGCCACUGUCAACAUGCAUGUUUUGUACAAGUGGUGGUCAAUGUGCAAACAAGAGUAGCAUAUCUUUUUUUCCCUUUUCAUUCACUUAAUUUUACUAUACUUUAUUAAGGGUCUGUUUAGUUCCCCAAACUCACAACUUUGACACUAUGCAAAAAGAAGAUUCCCCAUCACAUCAAACUUGCGGUACAUGCAUGGAGUACUAAAUGUAGACGAAAUCAAAAACUAAUUGCACAGUUUUGUUGUACUUUGCGAGACGAAUCUUUUGAGCCUAAUUAGUCAAUAUUUGGACAAUAAUUCACAAAUACAAACGAAACGCUACAGUGUGCUACAGUGCUACAAUAGUGGUUUUGGACACCCAAAAUCAGGCAACUAAACAAGGCCUAACUCCGGGGAUGGGUUGGCAUCAAUAGGCUGCUCAAUGCGCAGUCGUGCGAACUGACUGCAGACCCUUCCACCAAAUCUUUGCCUCACCCUUCAGUAAUUGUGCCCCAUAACGAACACGAUCAUGAGCUAACACCUCAAAAGCUUCCAUCUUAUCCUCCACAUAUGAUAACCAAUCAGUAGCCUGAAUAGGAGUACCACUGCCAUAGAAACUAUCCAGCUUCAUGCCAACCCUCUCUCUCAGCGAGACACCACUCUCGGGGCCAACUGGGGCAGCAACUUCCUAAGUAGAGCCAGUAGGAUUAGGUUGUGCUGCACCCACACGAGCAGCCUGCCUCAAAGUCCUCAUCUCAUUAUGCAUCUCACGCAUUGUGGCAAGUAAUUCUGCUUGACUAGUGCCAUCAGCUUGAGCACCACCCGCUGGUCGUGCCCGUCCUCGCUUCUUAGGCGGCAUAACUGCAGCUACCACAAGACACAAACAACACAAAUAUCAAGAUCCAACAAUUUGAAGUAUACACAAUGACAAAAUAAUCCAUACACACAAAACAAAAUGCACCCGUACCCAACCUACAAGUGCAAGUGUGUCAAAUUAAACCUUAGUUUUCCUAGGAUUAAAUUAACCUAAGCUCUAAUUACCAACUAUAACACCCUAGGAAAAACAAACACCACCUUGAGAUGCUACUAAGCCACACCGGACAAAAGGGAAAGAUUUUGACAAUAUCUCCCCUAAAACAGGAGCGUCACAGAAGCAACAAAUAAUAAGAUAUAAAAAUAGAUAAAGCACAUUAGCAUAAAUGAAAGAUCCUAACAUGAUAUCCAAACGAUUAAAGGCAAGGUUUAACAAAUCUUAGCCAUCAUGAAGAAACAGAUAAACUCUCAUAGAGGAGGACUUAAAUAUUACAUCAUCACACUAGAGAAUUUUAAUUAAAGAGAAGUGUGACGUGCUGCUACUUCCCAACCCCCAAGCAAAGCAUCCAUCCAUCAAGUACCUGAGAUGAUAAAACAAGGGUGAAAUAUAAAAUCUCAGCAAGUAACUAACUUUAACAAGUUAUUUAAACUACAAGUUCAUUAGAAAAUGGUAUAACUAUUAUCAGCAAGCAUAGCUCCUCAAUAAAAAAUAAAUAAUAAUAAUAAUAUCAACUCCAACACCCUCAUACAUAAAUAAAACCAAUUCAUCACCAAACCUUGGAGAAGAUUCACUUCUCACCACCACUUUCAAAUAAAUACCAUAGAAAACCAAUAGCACUCUACAUGCAAAUGCAAUGCAAAUGCCAUGUCUCCUACCUUCAUACUCAACAAAGUAUGAAGCUGCAUCGUUAUGCCCAAUAAAUGAUGUUGUACCGGUAUGGUCGCGGCUAUCAAGCGAUGACAUAACUCCAUAUACCAUGCAUUGUGAUGCAAUGAAAUGUUAUGCCAAGAUAGAUCACACAGAGGGAGUAUACACCGCAUGAACCAGAUAAGUCUAUCCUCAUUUGACAACAUAAACC